rnacentral:lncRNA from 1 species
UUCAACACCAAAAACAAGCAUGCCACGUAAGCCAGCUUCAUUAACAGACCUUAUACUCUUUCCAGCAGUAAUAGCAUCUUCUCCAGCACAAAAAUGUUCAUAGAAUGUUCUCUUUGUAACUGCCAUAACUGCAUCUUUCAAGAUUCCCGUUUGUAACAAUUUUGAUUGCAUAGCCCAUAUUCCAACGUCCACGACAGGUCCUAUAGCCGUUGCAUGCAGAACGGCUGAGGAUCUUAUCAGCGUGGACGUUGGAACAGCUGAGAAUAAUCUCUCACCGUCGUUUAGGUCAAGAUAAGAUGGUUGUUGGUGUGACGGUUGUGGUGGAGAAGGUUGUUCUCUUUCGAGAAUGGAGGCGACGGUGGCGGUGGCUGAAGGAUGGUAGGAGUUUAAUGGUUUUGUGGUGGUUUUGAAACGGAGAUUCUUGAUGAUUUUUUGUGGGACCACACGAGUUGCCAUUCAAAAACAAGAAAUUUUGAUGUUUUUGAUUUCUUUGACGUUGUUUUUCUUCUUUUUUUUGUGAUGAAACUCUCGACAACCUUCAGGGUUUUUUAUCUUUCAAAGGAACACGUGAUUUUGGUGUUGUUGUUCUAUGUAACGAGGUUAAGGGUGUGGUUGUUUUUAUAGGCAUGAAAAGUUAAUAGGGUUUGGUCAAGCAAUGAAAAGUACAACGCUGCAUGAUGAUGUUGUUGUUCUAAUAACGUGGCUUAAUCUUUUAUCCUUAACAACCUUUUAAUUUUAGUUUUUAAAUUUUAUCCUUAACAACUUUUUAUUUUGAUUUCCCUUUUUAAUAUAGUUUUUUAUGGUUUAGUCGGUGUUUUUUAUUUGUAAUUUCUUUCCGUUUAUAACUGAUUGUAAAUUAAUCUGAUUAACUUUCAACUUUAAUGAGAUAACUAUGAUAAUUUUUAAUAAGGCAAAUAUUAAAAAAAGUAAUUAUGAUAGUUUAACAGUUUAAUUUCUAUUUGAAAAAACAAUUUAAUUACUAUGCAUAGAGGUGUAAAUAAUUAUUUAUUUUCCCUUAAAAAUCAUCAAUUUUAAUUAUUUUUUCAUUUGAAGUGGCAUAUCUUAAUUUGAUAUUUAAUUUAGACAAAAAUAAUCAUAAUCAAUACUAUGUAUGAACGAAAUGAGGGAUUUUGGACAGAUUUUUUUACUAUUUCAAUUAUACCCUUAAUUUUUUUAUAAUAAUGUUAUAUUGUUGUGAUAUUAAAAGAAAUAAUUCCGUAGCAUUUCAAAAACGCCUUGAUUUGUUUUGAUUUUUAACCAAAACGUUUGCAUUUAAUUACCAUUUAUUUUUUUUCAAUUAAGAUUGUAGGGGUAAAAUUGAGCUAAAAAGUGAUAAGCGAAAACAAGCUAUAAACUUGUGUAAAAAUGACAUUUAUUAAAUGGAUUAUUUUUUAUCAGGUAGGUUGUGGCUAGAGCUCACACAUUUUAAAUGUGGAGAAGUAGAAUGUACGGGGUUCAAACUCCAACCCCUACAUAUAUUAUGCAAUUUUCCUACCAACCCAACUGAGUUAUACUCACAUAACUUUUUUAAUCAUGAGAACUUAUAAACAAUAUGUUAUAAACUUAAAAUAAUGUCUUACUAGAUAGACCCUUAAACCCCUUUUUUUUUUUUUCUUAAAAAAAAAACCCUUAAACCCUUUUCUUUUUUCUUAGGAGAAAAAACUUCAAACGCCUAUAAAAAUGCAAAAAAUAUAAUUACUACUACCUCCGGUCCUAUUUAUAAGAGAAAUUUAGGUCAACAAAAGUGAAUGUAUUUGGACUGAAUUUUUAACUAGAUACAUCAACUUUUGUUGACCCAAAAUUCUCUUAUAAAUAGGACCGGAGGGAGUAUAUCGCUAUUUGGAUGGUAACUAGUUGUGUCAUGUUGCUGUGGAUAAACUAUGGCAUGAAAAAAGUUAGUAAAAUGGAGUGAAAAAGAGAGAGCGUAGGUAAAGGAAGAUGAGUAAGAGUGGUAGGUAGGUGCUAAAUUGUAGGGGAGAGUAUGGACAUGAGUUAUAAAAGGUAACAUGAUAGUUUGCAAAUACACGUAGAUAUGACAUAGAUACUUAAAGUAGAGUAUGCAUGUAACAUGUUAUUAAAUUCAAGAUAAUACUGCCAUCAUCUUGAUUCAGUCAAUUCUACAAUUUUAAUUUCAUAUCUUACCAACUAUAACCGCAAUAGAUCCAGGAGAUUCCUUUCUAUUCUAAAAUUAAUGGAUAUUAUAUACUUUUAUCUACGGUUUAUUCGGGUUUGUUUGAAACAAUUCUAAGAAAUUGGUCAGCUAUUUGGAAGCUUAAAUACUUUGGAACUUAGUUUGGAGGAUGUGUCGGGUUGUUUGUCUAGGAGGAUUCGACUUCAUGACAAAGGUGUGAUGUGUCCAACACAUUGCGUUAGUUGUGUUUCUACACACGAUGAUCAACACGAGUCUUUCUCGCGUGUUUUGUCAUCACUUGCACGCUUACUGAGAAUUUUUCGGUAGGUCACCAAUCAUAAGAAUACUCAAAGUCAAGCACGCUUAACUGUGGAGUUCUUAUGAAAUGAGCUACCGAAAAGAAGAUGCAUAUUGUUGAUAUAGGUAGUACCAAACAAUUCUUAUAAGUCUUCCUUCAACCAUGUAGUCUCAUACCUACACGGCCUCAGGAUCCAUCUCAUUCCGAUGUGAUUCGGCUUGUCUAGAAGUUGUCGGGAGCCGCUCAUUGUCAUGCCUUGUGCACCGGCGACCACUCCCCACCCUCGUCAGCCUUGGGUGUUACAUGCCCACCAGCUUCCGCUUAGUUUGUCCCCGAACCACACCGUACUCAGAGAGGUCUGCUCUGAUACCAUUUGUAACAUCUCAGACUGCUUUCAAGAUUGCCGACUGACCCUACAAACCAACACGAGUCUUUCCAGCAUGUUUUGUCAAAGUGCUUAUAAUUUACUUGUUGUAAUUUCUUAUGCGUGACAGAGAAAAUAGGGCCAAGGAAAUUUAUGCAACAAAAUUUGCUUCAAUUGCACCUAAAAUUGUUAGCUGCUUAGUAAGUAACAUUUUUUUAGGUGUUACAUGUAAUACCUUCAAGUGUUACUGAAAUCAUUAAGUAACACGGGAUUUACCUAACAAUUGUCAUAUGUUACAAAAUCUAAAUAGUAACAUUUGUUUUUUAUUUAGUUACACUUUUGAAGUAUUACUAGUGUUACAUGUAAUACCCUUAAGUGUUACUGAAAUCAUUUUGUAACACAGGUUUUACCUAAUAUUUCUCAAAUGUUAUAAGAUCUAAAUAGUGACAUUUGUUUUUUAUUUAGUUACAACUUUAAAGUGUUACUAAAUCUCAUAUAUGUUGUAGUGUAGCAGCACACUUCCAAAUCAUCAAUUUGAAUAGUUCUAACACAAGAUGCACAUUGUUGCUUCCAAAUUAAUUUAAAUUAACCGACAUGAUUAAAAAAAUAGACUAAGAUUUUAUUUUUGUUAAAAAAAAUAGAAUAAGAUUGCUUAACCAAUCAGCUUAAAUAAUUUAGUAUUUUUAUAAUGUGGGGAGGCAGACUUUCCCAAACUUAAUAUGCACAUAAAGCACAAACUAACUUCAAAAUCUGACAUACAUUUCCAACAAAAAUACCAUAAUAAUUCAAAAUUCAUUUCAUUGAAAUUCCAAUUUCAUCAAAUUACAGCAUUCUUUAAUUCUUAAAAAAUUUCAAAAAAAAAUCAUGAUGCUUGCCAAAUUACAAGACAUGAUUUUUAUACUAUUAACAUUGCUAAAGCUCUUAAAAUAUUGCAGCUUUAAGCCUCCUUCCAAGCUCUUUUCUGUACAAAAAAUAAAAUAAAAAUCACUAUGAGAAAAACAUAAAUUAAAUAAUUUUCAUGUCACAAAAUAAUUAAAAGGUUAAGAAAUUAUUUUUAAUUUUGUUACCUUAUGAGUUGCCUAUCAAAUCCAGAAGCAGCCAAAAGGCCUCUAUUUUCUUCAGCUCUUCUCAAUAGAUAAGGCAUAACCAUCUCAACUGGUCCAAAUGGCAUAUACUUGCUUACUCUAAAUCCAGCGUUGCUCAAACCAAAUGAAAGUGCAUCUGACAUUCCACAUAGUUGUGCAAAUUCAAGCUUGUGAUUCACCUUUCCCAUCCCAAUUUCAUAUGCUUUUGCUGCAGCCAAUUUCCCUACACAGCAAAAAAAAAAAUCAAUACAUUUUAGAUACAUUAAUUGAAAUCAUGGUUAUUCUAGUAUUCUUAUUGGUACAUGUAGCAUAUAUAUUUCAGAUUUAAGGUGUGUUGGUUGAUCGAUGUGGGUCAAUGUCUGAUACCGACAUAUGUAGUUACAUUUAUUUACUUAUAUUUUCUUGAAAUAUUUCUAAUGUCUACGUGUCAGUGUCAAUAUCAUAUAUGUUGUCUAUGUAUGUAUCAAUGCUACAUACCAUUCAAUCUAAAGAUUGACACUUCAUAUUAAUGGAUGUCCGGCAUGCGACGACACCAACACAUAUGAUUACAUUUUCUUAAAAUAUUAUCAGUGUUCGACAUGCGACGGCACCGACACAUAUGAUUACAUUUUCUUAAAAUAUGUUCUUUCAGGUGUUCAUGUAUGUGUCGGUGCUUCAUACAUUAGUCUAUAAAGUCUAAAAAAUAUGAAAUUGAAAAGUAAAAAAAACCUAAUGAGUAAAAUAAUCUAAUUAGUACCUGAUUCAAUGUUGUGUGUAGCAAGAACAACAGAUCCUUUUCCAUUAGCAAACUUCUCAAGCAAAUAAGAUGAACAAUCAUUGAAGCAAUUAUGUGUAUCUUCAAUAGUAUCAUGAAUUGGUGACUUAGACCCAAAAGAUUCAGCCAAUGUACUUUCUGUGGACAUAUAAGCACCUCUAACCAAUUUAAAUCCCAUAGGAAUUCCAAUUUCUUCAGCAGCUUUUGUUGCAAGAAACAAUCUCUCCUUAGCAUCUUUCAAAUAAGUUUGAAUUGUUCCAAACACAAUAGGGUUAUCAUCUUUAUUAUGCAUAAUUGCUGAAGAGUAUGUGAAGUAAUCAAUAGCUGGUUGAACAGUAGUGUGUUCAGCAUCAACCAAUAAGGGCAUGUUUGCUUCAACACAUUUUUUACAAAGUUGUUGUAAUCUUUGGUUUGCUAGUUGAAAAUCACUUUCUUCUUGUGGUGUUAAUGGUUCUGGUUUUUUUGUAGUGUGGUAUAAUGGACUUGAUUCAGAGAAAAUUGGUAGAGAAUCUUGUUUCCAUGGUAAAUUGAAUGAAGGGUCUUUUUGUUGCCAUCUUAGAAGAUCACUUAUUCUUUCUAGUAAUGCCAUUGGACAUAUUGCAGUGAUUUUCACAAUCACAAAACUCACCUAUCACAUAAAAAAUAAAUAAAUUAGGAUCGUGUGGGAAAUCGGAUCGCAUAUAGAUGGAAAUUUGGCUCAUUCAUGCGAUCAGUAUAUUCGUUGCAGUUGGAUCAAGUUCUGCAGUGAUAUUUGCAUGGAAUUCUACGUUGAAAUAUAAACUGUUCAAUCUUGAUCCAACAACUACGAAUGUGUUGUUUGCAUGAAUGUGUCAAACCCAAAAAAAAAAAAAAAUAAAUAAAUAGUUUUUUACAUGGUGUACCAAUUUAGUAUAAAACACCUUGAACAUGAAAUAAUUAAAACUCUAGUAAGAAAUGGUAAAAAUCCAAACUACUAAUGAACCCUUUUGUCCAAAUACCAAAAUCUAAUUUCUAAACACUAGUUUCCAAUUUUUAUGUUACAAUGCCAACCACAUUGUACUUAAGCUAGGUGGGAGUGGGACAACAUUAUAUAUAAUAAUAUUAAUACAAACAUUAUGAUGGAAAUGAAAUAAUGAAAACUCUUGUUAGAAAUGGUAAAAAUUCAAACUAGUACUUAAACCAUUUUGUCUAAAACAGUAACAUUAACCGAUCUAAACACUGCUUCCCAAUUUUUUGGUUAACCCUUUAUCCAAAAAUACCAAACUCAAAUUUCUAAACACUGCUUCCCAAUUUUUUGGUUAACCCUUUAUCCAAAAAUACCAAACUCAAAUUUCUAAACACCUAGAUGCCAACAAUAUAUGACUCAAUGUCAUGCCAACCACAUUGUCCUUAAGUUAGGUGGGACCAACAAAAUAUAAUAUGAGACAAAAUUGUUCACUCUGUCACAAGAUUUCAACAAAAAAAGCACAAAAUUUUUACAUGAGAGCAUGACUUGAACUGGCAUAUCAAGGUGAUUACUUGGUGAUAUUGAAACAUGCAAUGUGACACUUGUUGCCAACUCAAUUCAUACUCAUCACAAAAAGUAGCAAUUCAAUUAAACACACGCCUCACAAUAAAAACACACACGUUCACUUUUCAAAGUCAAGGCCCACAACCAUUUAAUUCAUUAAAAAAAUUAUUUAAUGUAAUAAUACUCCCUCCGUCUCAAAUUGUAUGACGUUUUGGCCAUUUCACACGUAUUAAGAAAUGUAAUUAAUAUUGUGUGACAAAAAAAAUUAUGAGUUGUUUUACAAAAUUAUCUCUAAUAAAUGGUAUGGAAAAGAUAAAUGAAAUAAUUGAAAGAAGAGAGAGUAAUUAAUAGUUAAGGAUAUAAUAGGAAAAGUAACAUUAAUAUUUCAUUGGUAUUGUAAAGCGACAUACUCCCUCCGUCCCAAAUUGUAAGACGUUUUGGGCAUUUCACACAUAUUAAGAAAUACAAUUAAUAUUGUGUGGAAAAGGGAUAUUAUGAGUUGUUUUACAAAAUUGUCCUUAAUAAAUAAUAUGGGAAAAAUAAAUGAAAGAAUUGAAAUAAGAGAGUAAUAAAUAGUUAAGGUUAUAAUAGGAAAAGUAACAUUAAAGUUGCAUUGGUAUUGUAAAGCGACAUACAAUUUGGGACGGAGGAAGUAUAAUUUAGGAAAAAAAAUUUCCAAAGCGACAUACAAUUUGGGACGGAGGGAGUACAAAGUAGUUAAUGGCCUUCUAUUUCUAAAAGGGAUUGGAGAAACUUCAUUCACCUAUAGUUUAAAUAUUACAUGUGCUUUAUAUGUUUUUCAAGACAUGCUAAAAUAUCCUUAUUUCCUUUAACUAUUGGGGUGAGUCCACAUAAAAAAUUAAAAAAAGUAAAUAUGAUUAGAGAUCUCUUAUAUUAUUUUUAUUAUUACUAAUCAUAUUUGGUAUUCAUAAAUAAAAAGAUCCUCUUCAAUCUUUAUUUAAAGAAAUUGAAAAAUCUCAUUAUUAUGAGUUUAAUUGUAUAAUUAAUGACUACUUAAUUUUUUUUUUGAAGAAAAUUAAUGACUACUUAAUUAUAUCACUAAUUUUAGAAAUAUUUCACUUAAUAUAUUUUAAAAAGAAUAAUAAAGCUCCCAUUUUUUUUAAAAAAUAUAGAAAAUUCAAACAGAAAAACUAUCUGUUGAAUGUAUAUGAUGAUUGAAUUCUAUUUCCACGCUACAUUAUACGACCAAAUUAAUUUGACCAAAACCUCUUCUCUUUAAAUAAAAACAAACAAAUCUUUAAUUAAUCUAAACAGAUCUUAACCAAUUUAUUUUACCAUGAUGAUAAAAAUUAAUCAAAAAAAUAAAUCAAGAUAAAAUUAGAAACUUACAGAAGAAGGAGGAAGUGAUUUGCUAACAUCAACAGUAUGAAGAAACCCUUUAAGAUUACGAUCACAACCAUCAUUCUCAUGUGCAUCUUCAACACCAAAAACAAGCAUGCCACGUAAGCCAGCUUCAUUAACAGACCUUAUACUCUUUCCAGCAGUAAUAGCAUCUUCUCCAGCACAAAAAUGUUCAUAGAAUGUUCUCUUUGUAACUGCCAUAACUGCAUCUUUCAAGAUUCCCGUUUGUAACAAUUUUGAUUGCAUAGCCCAUAUUCCAACGUCCACGACAGGUCCUAUAGCCGUUGCAUGCAGAACGGCUGAGGAUCUUAUCAGCGUGGACGUUGGAACAGCUGAGAAUAAUCUCUCACCGUCGUUUAGGUCAAGAUAAGAUGGUUGUUGGUGUGACGGUUGUGGUGGAGAAGGUUGUUCUCUUUCAAUAAGGGAAGCGACGGCGGCGGUGGCCGAAGGAUGGGAGGAGUUUAAUGGUUUUGUGGUGGUUUUGAAACGGAGAUUCUUGAUGAUCUUUUGUGGGACCACACGAGUUGCCAUUCAAUAACAAGAAAAUUUGAGAUUUGAGAUUCUUGAUGAUGUUUUUGAUUUCUUUGACGUUGUUUUUCUUCUUUUUUGUGAUGAAAACUCUCGACAACACUUUAGUUUUUUUUUUAUCUUUCAAAGGAACACGUGAUUUUGGUGUUGUUGUUCUAUGUAACGAGGUUGUUUUUAUAGGCAUGAAAAGUUAAUAGGGUUUGGUCAAGCAUUGAAAAGUACAACACUGCAUGAUGAUGUUGUGUGAGAUAAGAUUAAACUCUCUAAUUACGUGGCCUAAUCUUUUAUCCUUAACAACUUUUUAGUUUUUAAUUUUGACUUAUCUUAUUCUUAAAAUAGUUUUUUUUGGUUUAGUUGGUGUUUUUAAUUUGUAAUUUCUUUCAGUUUAUAACUGAUUGUAAAAUAAUCUAAUUAACUUUCAACUUUGAUUAGGAUGACAAUUAGACCCAGACCCGAUGGUAAAACCCCGCUUUCAUGGAUAUGGGCAUGGAUCCGGGUAAUUACCCGCAACUUAAAAGGAUACAGGCACGGGUAUGGGCACUAUACUACCCAGCCCCGCAACCCGCAUAUAUGAUUUUAUAUAAUAUAAUAAAUAAUUUAUAUAUUAAUUAAUUAAUUAAUUAAUUUAUCUAACUAUUUAAGCUUAGAAUGAAACCUAAAAAUUGCUUAUUACAAUAAUCUAAACCUAGCCUCUUGUUGCAUUGAAUAGGGAUGGCAAUGGGUACCCAAUGGGUAGGGUACUAUAGUGCCCAUCCCCAUACCCACAUUUGUAAGAAAUAUCCAUACCCGUGCUCGUACCCUCGUGGGCAACAACUUUAGUGCCAUUCCCCAUACCCUAUGGGUACCUAAGUGCCCAUACCCGCACCUAUUACCCACACUUUAGCUAUGAAAAAGGAAUAAAAACAUCACAAUUGAAAUAAAACUAUGAUCCAAUAAAAAAACAUCUAAAUUAAAAUAUCCCUAAACAAUUGUACAUCGGCAAGAUGAAGUUAUUGUAUUAAAUAGUUUUUUUUAUUUAGGUUUGAGUUUAGGCUUAAAUAGCUAAAUUAAUUAAUUAAUUAUACACCAAAAAUAAAUAAUUAUUUAAAAUAUUAUAUAAAUAUGUAUAUGCGGGGUUGUGGGGCUGGGUAGUAUAAUACCCUUACCCGUGCCCAUACCCAUAACAAUUUGUGGGUAUUACCCAGACCCAUGUCCAUACCCAUGAAAGCGGGGUUUUACCCUACCCAUUGUGGGUUUUUUUUGCGGGUAUCCAUUGGGUCUGGAUCCAAUUGUCAUCCCUAGCGUUGAAUCUCUACCGCCUGCCUGCCUUUCAUUGCUUUUUGUUAUCCAUCUCUUAUGCUUCUAGGUAACUAUUUCUUGAAUCUCAUAUUUCUAAAGGGAUGUCAAUUGGACCCAGACCUGAUGGGUACCGCAAAAUACUACGAUUCAUACUUUUUUUUAUUUGGUUAAAUACUACCAUUCAUACUAUUUUAUGAGUUGAUUUGAAAUUUUCUGGAUCAUAAUUGUAUUUCAGUUGUGGUGCUUUUUUAUUGUCUUUUCAGUAUUAAACUGCGGGUAAUUGGUGCGGGUAUGAGCUCUUAGGUGCCCAUAGGGUAUGGGGAAGGGCACUAAAGUUGUUGCCCACGAGGGUAUGGGCCCGAAUACGUGUAUUUUUUACAAACGCGGGUAUGGAGAUGAGUAUUAUAAUUCCCUGCCCAUUAGGUACCCAUUGCCAUCCCUAACUUUGAUGAGGUAAUUAACUUUCAACUUUAAUGAGAUAACUAUGAUGAUUUUUAAUAUGGUAACUAUUAAAAAAGUAAUUAUGAUAGUUUGACAGUUUAAUUUCUAUUUAAAACAACAAUUUAUUUUCCCUUAAAAAACAUCAAUUUUAAUUAUUUUUUCUUUUGAAGUCGCAUAUCUAAAUUGAUAUUUUAGACAAAAACAAUCAUAAUAUUUAUCAAUACUAUGUAUAAACGAAAUGAGGGAUUUUGGACAGAUUUUUUACUAUUUCAAUUAUACCCUUAAAAAAUGUUCUAUAAUAAUGUUAUAUUAUUGUGUCAUUAAAUGAAAUAAUUUUGUAGCAUUUCGAAGACACGUUGAUUUGUUUUGAUUUUUCAACCAAAAGGUAUGCAUUUAAAUACCUUUUUUUUUUUUCUUUCAAUUAAGAUUGUAGGGGUAAAAUUGAGCUAAAAAGUGAUAAGCGAAAAUAAGUUAAAAAAUGAUUUUUUUUUUUUUUUGUCAAAUGGCCUAGUGGCUAGAACUCACAUUUUAAAUGUGGAGUAGUAGAGUGUACGGGGUUCAAACUUCAACCCUUACAUAUAUUAUACAAUUUUCCUACCAACCCAACUGUGUUAUGCUCACAUAACUUUUUUAAUCAUGGAAACUUAUAAACUAUAUGUUAUUAUAAACUUAAAUUAAUUAUAUCUUACUAGAUAGACCCUUAAACCCCCUUUUUUUCUUAAAAAAAAACCUAAACCCUUUUCUUUUUUCUUAGGGGAAAACUUCAAACGCUUAUAAAAAUGCAAAAAAAAAAAAAAAAAAAUUACUAUAUCGCUAUUUGGAUGGUAACUAGUUAUGUCAUGUUGCAAUGGAUAAUAUGGCAAGAUAAAAGUUAGUAAAAUGAAGUGAAAAGGAGAAAGCGUAGGUAAAGGAAGAUGAGUAAGUAAGAGUGGUAGGUGCUAAAUUGUAGGGAAGAGUAUGGACAUGAAUUAUAAAAGGUAACAUGAUAGUUUGCAAAUACACGUAGAUAUGACAUGGAUACUUAAAUUAGAGUAUGCAUGUAACAUGUUAUUAAAUUCAAGAUCAUAUUGCCAUCAUCUUGAUUAAGUCAAUUCUACAAUAUUAAUAUGUUCAUAUCUUACCAACUAUAACCGCAAUAGAUCUCGGAGGUUCCUUUCAUUCUAAAAUUAAUGGAUAUUAUAUAUUGUUAUCUACGGUUUAUUCGGUUUGUUUGAAUCAAUUCUAAGAUAUUGGUCAGUUAUUUGGAAGCUUAAAUACUUUGGAACUUAGUUUGGAGGAUGUGCCGGGUUGUUUAUCUACGAGGAUUCGACAUCAUGACAAAGGUGUGAUGUGUCUAACACAUUGCGUUAGUUGUGUUUCCACACACGAUGAUCUGGCACAUUUAUUCCCUGCUUGUCCUUUUGCUAUCCUAGUAUGGCGUUUGUCGGGGCUUUGGUCCCAAAUUCAUCAUACAUUUUUUACUGUUGCUGUUGUUUCUGCUGUAGAUACUAUUUUUGUAUUGGUCGAGAUGUUUCCACUGAACAGAAAAAAUUAUAUGCUGCCAUUUUGUGGAGCCUUUGGAAACAUAGGAAUUUAAAGGUUUAGGAGGAUGUGACAGAAGUUGCCGUUGCGGUUGUUGAUCGUGCGUGUGUGAAGAUACGGAUUGGCUGCCUGCAAACACUCAUACCCCCGCUGUGCGCACAGCUGCUACAUCACUCCACUUUUGGAUGUGCAUUCCAAUUCUGCAGAAGCUAGCUCUUCAGCUGUUCCAAUAUUAUUACAUAAUACAAAAUCUGAAGAAACAAAGCAUGAAGAAAAUGCAGUACAAGCUACUUAAAAUGUAGUACAAUAGCUUAAGUAUAGUAGUACAUUCACAUAUAAGAUAGUACAAUUCAUUUGUAUAAAUAACUGGAUGUACAGUACUCUUUUCAAUCUUCAAUGAAUCAGUUUUUUAUCUUUCUUUGAUUCUUAAUAUGGUAUCAGUUUUCUCUCUCUUCUUGAGAGAGUUAGUUACGAUCUAGAUCUAGCUUCCGCCAUUGAUGAUUCCUCUUCUAGCUUCAUCAAACUUCUUUUUUUACUUGAUUUUUCCUUGAAUCUUCGUGAUUCUUCUUCAUAUAUCCUUGUUUAAUACUCAAUUCUGUAUUGAGUUACUCUUGAUUUCUUCAAUCACAUUUUUUGUGGUUUUUCAAUUUUCAUCUUCUUUGAAGCAAUUGAAGCUCUGUUUUUUCUACUUUCCUCUUGAAUCAUGCCUCCUCGUGCAGUUCCGGUUGUAGUUCCACAAACUAACACCGAUUCCGUUUACUAUGUCCAUCCAAGUGAAGGACCAAAUUCUAUGACUGUCACUCCUCUUCUCACAGGCUCCAAUUAUCUCGCUUGGAGUCGUUCGAUGAAACGUGCGCUUGGUGCGAAGAACAAAUUCGCCUUCGUUGAUGGAUCCAUUCCGAUCCCUGAUCCUGAUGAUCUGAAUCGCAAUGCUUGGGAGCGCUGUAAUCAUCUCAUACACUCUUGGAUUUUGAAUUCUGUUUCUCUGCAAAUUGCACAAACAAUUGUUUUUCAUGAAUUCGCCAUUGAUGUUUGGAUUGAGCUUCAAGAGCGUUUUUCUAAAGUUGAUAGAAUUCGUAUCGCUUCUCUUCGCUCUUCCAUCAACAAUCUCAAACAAGGUGCUAAACCUGUACUUGACUAUUUCACAGAGAUGAAAUCUCUUUGGGAGGAGCUCAAUUCACAUCGUCUUAUGCCUAUGUGCACUUGUCUAUAUCCAUGCCGUUGUGAAUCUAUGCGCGCUGCUAGAGAAUUUCGCAUGGAGGAUCAAGUAAUUCAGUUUCUCACUGGCUUGAAUGAUACUUUCUCAGUUGUGAAGACUCAAGUUCUUCUUAUGGAUCCACUUCCUUCAAUCAACAAGGUUUAUUCUAUGGUUGUUCAAGAAGAAAGUAAUAAUACUGCACUUACUCCAGUUUCUAGUGAAGAUUCUAGUAUACUUGUGAAUGCAUCAGAUGCUAGAAAGUUCUAUGGACGUGGUAAACCUUCUUCAGGACCACCUCAAUCUAAGAACAAUUCCAUAUAUUGCACUUUUUGCCAUAGGAACAAUCACACAGUGGAUUUUUGUUACAUGAAGCACGAUUAUCCCAAUGCAAAUAAGCCUCAUGCUUCUUCAAAUGCUGUUGUUAAUGAAGGCAUUCCUGAUUCUCAGAAAGAUGGUGAAGGAUCUUCCAUUAUCUCUCAAACUGGUCUUACUCAAGAGCAAUAUGGUCAUCUGGUUGCUUUACUUCAGCAAUCAUCUUUGGUUCCUCAAGCAUCUGCCUCAAGUCCUGCUAGCACCAAUCAUAUUACUUCUUCUAUUCCAUCUUUCCCCUCAGGUAUAAAUACUGUUAUCUCUUGUUCUAUACAUACUCAAAAUAAUCAUUGGAUUGUUGAUUCAGGGGCUAAUGAGCAUAUUUGCUCCUCUUUGCAUUUGCUUCAUUCCUUUCAUAAGAUUAAACCUAUGCAUGUUACUUUACCUAAUGGUUCCACUGUGAUUGUUCACUAUGCUGGCACUGCUGUUUUUUCACCUUUUUUCCAUAUUACUAAUGUCUUAUAUUCACCUCAUUUCAGAGUUAACCUAAUUUCUGUUUCCAAACUUUGCACUAUUUUGUCUUACCAAGUCAAUUUUUUGCCUGAUAAAUGUCUGAUACAGGAUAUGAAAUCCCAGAAGAUGAUUGGUUUGGGUAAUAUUUGUGAUGGUCUCUAUAAGCUGAAUACUGCUUCAUGCAAUCAGAAGUCUUUUGUUUCUUCUUCCACAAGUCUUUGUGCUCCAGUUUCUUUGAACUCUUGUAAUUCUGUUUGUUCUAGUGUAGCUAUUUCCUUUAUUCCUUCCAAUGCUAUUUAGCACUUUAGAUUAGGACAUUUGUCAAAUCAAAGAUUGUCCAAAAUGCAUAAUUUGUAUCCCUCUAUUUCUGUUGAUAAUAAAGCUACUUGUGACAUAUGUCAUUUUGCUAAGCAAAGAAAAUUACCUUAUCAUUCCAGUCAAUCUAUUGCUAGUUCUAAAUUUGAACUUUUACACCUUGAUAUUUGGGGUCCUUUAGCUCAAACAUCUGUUGAUGGCCACAAGUAUUUCCUCACUAUAGUUGAUGAUUUUAGUAUAUUCUUAUGGGUCAUUUUACUUAAAACCAAAGCAAAAGUUUCUUUGCAUGUUAAAAAUACUUGAUCCAUAAUCAUCAUCAUGUUACCCCAAAAUUCAUAAGGACUGAUAAUGGUCCUGAAUUCUUUUUACCUGAUUUUUAUGCUUCAAAAGGCAUCAUUCAUCAAAGAGCUUGUGUAGAAACACCUGAACAAAAUGCUAGAGUAGAGAGAAAACACCGACACAUUCUCAAUGUUGCUAGAGCUUUGUUGUUUCAAUCCAAACUUCCCAAUGUUUUCUGGUCAUAUGCUGUUUUGCAUUCAGUUUUUCUCAUAAAUAGAGUUUCAACUCCUCUUCUCAAACAUAAAUCUCCCUAUCAUGUUUUAUAUGAUUCAUUGCUUGAUAUUCAUUCUUUUAAAGUUUUUGGUUGCCUUUGUUAUGCUUCUACACUUCAAGCUCAUAUAACAAAAUUACAAUCUAGAGCCAGAAAGUGUAUUUUCUUAGGUUACAAGUCUGGAUUCAAAGGCUCAAUUGUUUUUGAUUUACAUUCCAGAGAAAUCUUUGUUUCCAGAAAUGUUGUUUUUCAUGAAUUGAUAUUACCUUACAAUUCAUCAUCAUCCUCUUCUUCCACUAAAGAUUGGCAGUAUUUUCCUACUCCUUCCACUCAUUUUUCUAAUUUUGAGGAUCCUGACUUUUCACAAUCACCACCUUUUAUCACACCACCUGCACUCCCCACUCCUUCACAACCUACAUCAUCACCUCCCAAUGUCUCUAUACCUAUUAGAACUUCCAUCAGGAAUAAAGUUACACCUGCAUAUCUACAUGACUACAUUUACAAUGCAUCUGUCAUUUCUUCUGCUAAUAACAGUACCAGUCAAUACCCCCUUUCCAAUUUUGUUUCACAUGCUCAUUUAUCUAACACUCAUUCUGCUUUCGCUAUGUCUCUUGUUUCUUAUACUGAACCAAAAUCCUAUGAUGAGGUAAUCAAACAUGACUAUUGGAAACAAGCAAUGCAGACUGAACUUAAUGCUCUUGAACAGACUGGCACUUGGAAGAUAGUGGAUCUCCCUUCAUCUGUCAAACCUAUAGGGUGCAGAUGGGUUUAUAAAGUGAAGCAUAAUGCAGAUGGCUCUAUUGAGAGAUACAAAGCACGUUUAGUUGCUAAGGGAUAUAAUCAGAUUGAAGGCCUUGACUAUUUUGAUACUUUUUCACCCGUUGCUAAGGUUACAACUGUGAGAUUAGUUAUAGCUUUGGCUUCAAUCAAUCACUGGUUUUUGCAUCAGCUAGAUGUAAACAAUGCUUUCCUUCAUGGAGAGCUUCAUGAAGAUGUUUACAUGAUUGUGCCUCCAGGUGUUGUUCCUUCAAAGCCAAAUCAAGUUUGCAAAUUGUCCAAAUCUCUCUAUGGCCUCAAGCAGGCUAGUAGAAAAUGGUAUGAAAAGUUGACUAGCCUGCUCAUCAACAAUCAAUAUAUACAAGCUACUUCUGACGCUUCCUUGUUUACUAAGACAACUUCUGAUAGUUUUACUACACUACUUGUUUAUGUUGAUGAUAUAAUCCUUGCUGGAAAUUCUCUCACUGAAAUUACUUUCAUCAAGAAUGUUUUACAUCAAGCCUUCAAAAUCAAAGACCUCGGUACUUUGAAAUAUUUUCUAGGUCUUGAAGUUGCACACUCCAAAAGUGGAAUCUCUCUUUGCCAAAGGAAGUAUUGUCUGGAUUUGUUACAAGAUUCAGGUUUACUUGGCUCAAAGCCUGUUACCACACCUUCAGAUCCAUCCAUUAAGCUGCACAAUGACACUUCACCACUCUUCACUGAUGUCUCUGCUUACAGAAGAUUGGUUGGGAGAUUGAUCUAUCUCAACACAACUAGGCCUGACAUUACAUUCAUAACUCAACAGCUCAGUCAAUUUUUGAGUAAACCAACACACACUCAUUACAAUGCUGCUCUAAGAGUUCUUAAAUAUCUUAAAGGCUCUCCAGGUCGUGGCAUUUUCUUUCCUAGAGCUUCAGGAUUACACAUUCAAGGUUACACAGAUGCUGAUUGGGCAGGGUGUAAGGAUACUAGGCGUUCGAUUUCAGGCCAUUGUUUCUUUUUAGGACAAUCCCUUAUAUCUUGGAGAACCAAAAAGCAGCCUACUGUAUCUAAAUCUUCUUCAGAAGCUGAGUAUAGGGUAAUGGCAUCAGCAACCUGUGAACUUCAAUGGCUUUUAUACUUGUUGAGAGAUCUCCACAUUGAUUGUGUUAAGCUUCCUGUCCUAUAUUGUGACAAUCAAAGCACCAUGCAUAUUGCAGCUAAUCCUGUCUUUCAUGAGCGCACAAAACAUCUUGAAAUAGAUUGCCACAUUGUGAGGGAGAAACUUCAAGCUGGACUGUUCAAGCUCCUGCCAGUUACAACACAUGACCAACUUGCAGAUUUUUUUACAAAGUCUCUGUUCCCACAGCCUUUUAACAUUUUACUUUCCAAGUUGGGGUUGCUAGACAUCUACCAACCUCCAUCUUGUGGGGGGCUAUUACAUAAUACAAAAUCUGAAGAAACAAAGCAUGAAGAAAAUGCAGUACAAGCUACUUAAAAUGUAGUACAAUAGCUUAAGUAUAGUAGUACAUUCACAUAUAAGAUAGUACAAUUCAUUUGUAUAAAUAACUGGAUGUACAGUACUCUUUUUAAUCUUCAAUGAAUCAGUUUUUAUCUUUCUUUGAUUCUUAAUAAAUAUUAUAGAUUUUUAAUAUUAUUAUGAAAGUGCUUAAAUUAAGAUGAGAAAAAUAACAUAUAUAAUGAUUAAAAAUAUAUAUAUGAAUGCAACACACUUAAAAAAAGGCUAUAUAUAGUGUUAAUUUAUCUGUGUUUCAGAUGAUUUAUUUUCAAUUUUGCAAAAAAGAUAGAUAGGUCAAUAUAGAGAUUAGAUUUAGUUGAUUUAAUUCAGUUUACAUUCUAACAAAAAAAAACUGAACCGCUUUAAAAUUUGUGUUGAUGUUGUUUGAAUCUGUUUCUGGCUUAAAAGUUAACUUCCAUAAGAGCAUGUUAUAUGGGGUCAAUAUCUCUUAUUCUUGGUUGCACGAGGCGGCGUUAGUGUUGCCAUGUAAACAUGGUAGGCUUCCUUUCUUGUAUUUGGGGCUGCCUAUUGGCGGUGAUCUAAGGAAGAUUGUUUUUUGGUACCCUUUGGUUGAUCGGAUUAAAAGAAGGUUGUCUGGUUGGAAGAGUCGUAAUCUAUCUACAGGGGUCGUUUGAUUUUGUUUAAGUUUGUCAUGUCCUCCAUUCCGGUUUACUUUCUUUCCUUCUUCAAGGCCCCUCAGGGAGCUGUAAUCUAUCCAUGUCCUUCAUGGGGGUCAUUUGAUUUUGCUUAACACCUAUUUUGAUAUUCCUUUUCCGUUCUCUCUCAUCACCAUCUCUCUCCACUAUCGUUCUUUCCAUUCACCAAUUCCGUUCAUCACGUCGAAUCAUCUAUGGGUUCUUGGCUUUGAUUAUCCCCUAAUUCUCAUCUUAGGGUUAAUGGUAUCAAAGAAUAUUUUCUCCAUUCAUAUUGCGUUCAUCGUGAUUUGCGAAAAUUUCAUCUGUUUACUAAUCUCGGUAAUGUGAUUCACCUUCAUUGAUGCUUCUUCAUGGUAACUGAGCUUUGAAUUUUGCUAAGGUUUUGUUUCAAUUUGUUCUUCUUGUUUUUUAUACACAGUGAUAUUGUGAGAUUAUUAAAUUUGAUAAUUCUGAUGCUUUUCUUGGUGUUAUUGUAUUGGGUUUGAAGUGUUUGAUGAUUUUACUCAAUAAAAUUUGACUCUGUUUCGCAAUUGUUUGCCUAAUUUGACUUUAACAUUGUGUUGCCUAUGAAGUGUUUGAUAAUUUGAUUAAUGAAAUUUGACUCUCUAAUCGUGAGUAUCUCCAUAGAAAUCUGUUGCAAUUUGUGUUUAGUUAUCUUAAUAUUUUAUGGCAAUGAUAUUAAUGAGAAAUUGGGAUUGAAUUUUAUUGAUUGUGUUAUUGAACUCAAACUCUAACAUAUUCUUAUUUCAUAAUUAGAGGUACAUUUCUAUGAUUUAUGAGCUCAGCCUUUGAGAUUUUUGGCUUGGUUAUUUGUUAAUUUAUUAGUAUCUUUAAUCAAUAGUUAGGCAUGUGCUCACUUUGAUGAAUUUAUGAGUUUCUUUCAGAUUGUUUAAUUUAUAAUGAAUUUACAUGGGAGAUAGUCUUGUGUAGACACAAGUGUUUAGGCAUAAAAAAUUUAGAUAUGAUCAAGUAGUGGAAUCAAGAGAUAGAAUUAAGAAGGUAUGUUGUACCAAAAAGAAGAAUAAUAAUUAAGAAGGUAUGAAUAUAUUUAUAGAUAAGUAAAUUACAUGUUCUUUAAUGUUUUGUUCUCGCGCUCCUAUAAUUUUUAAAAAUUUCGUACAUGUUGUGGUGGUAUGAAUAUAUUUAUAGAUAACAAAAUUACAAGCACUUUAAUUUAUUUAUUUUUAGGGAAAAAAAAAAAAUCAAAGUGCUUGAAAUUUACUUGUUGUACUUUCUUAUUCUUGACAGAGAAAAUAGGGCCAAGGAAACUUAUGGAACAAAAUUUGCUUUAAUUGCACCUAAAAUUGUUAGCUAGCCUACAAAUUAGCUACAAGUUAGCUACUUGGUAAGUAACAUUUUUUAGGUGUUACAUGUAAUACCCUCAAGUGUUACUUAAAUCAUUUAGUAACAUAGGCUUUACCUAACAUUUAUCAAAUGUUACAAAAUUUAAAUAGUAACAUUUAUUUUUGAUUUAGUUACAAUUUUAAUGUGUUACUAAAUCUCAUAUAUGUUGCAGUGUAAUAGUACAUUUCCAAAUCAUCAAUUUGAAUAGUUCUAACACAAGAUGCACAUUGUUGCCUCCAAAUUAAUUUAAAUUAACCGACAUGAUUAAAAAAAUAGAAUAAGAUUUUUUUUUGUUACAAAAAAAUAGAAUAAGAUUGCUUUACCAAUCAGCUUAAAUAAUUUAGUAUUUUUAUAAUGUGGGGAGGCAGACUUUCCCAAACUUAAUAUGCACACAAACUAACUUCAAAAUCUGACAUUCAUUUCCAACAAAAAUACCAUAAUAAUUCAAAAUUCAUUUCAUUGAAAUUCCAAUUUCAUCAAAUUACAGCAUUCUUUAAUUUUUACAAAAUAAAUAAUAAUAAAAAAAAAAUCAUGAUGCUUGCCUAAUUACAAGACAUGAUUUUUACUAUUAACAUUGCUAAAGCUCUUAAAAUAUUGCAGCUUUAAGCCUCCUUCCAAGCUCUCUUCUGUACAAAAAGUAAAAUAAAAAUCACUAUGAGAAAAACAUAAAAUAAAAUUUUUUCAUGUCACAAAAUAAUUAAAAAGUUAAUGAAUGAUUUUUAUUUUUGUUACCUUAUGAGUUGCCUAUCAAAUCCAGAAGCAGCCAAAAGGCCUCUAUUUUCUUCAGCUCUUCUCAAUAGAUAAGGCAUAACCAUCUCAACUGGUCCAAAUGGCAUAUACUUGCUUACUCUAAAUCCAGCUUUGCUCAAACCAAAUGAAAGUGCAUCUGACAUUCCACAUAGUUGUGCAAAUUCAAGCUUAUGGUUCACUUUUCCAAUCCCAAUUUCAUAUGCUUUUGCUGCUGCCAAUUUCCCUACACAACAAAAAAAUCAAUACAUUUUAGAUACAUUAAUUGAAAUCUUGGUUAUUCUAGUAUUUUAUUGUUACAUGUAGCGCACAUAUAUAUUUCAUAUUUAAGGCAUGUCUGGUUGAUCGAUGUGGGUCAAUGACUGAUACCGACAUAUAUUGUUACAUUUAUUCGCAUACAUUUUCUUGAAAUAUUUCCAAUGUCUACGUAUCGGUGUCAAUAUCAUAUAUGUUGUCUAUGUAUGCGUCAAUGCUACAUACCAUUCAAUUUAAAGAUUGACACUUCAUAUUAAUGGGUCUGAUGUCUGACAUGCGACAACACCGACACAUAUGAUUACAUUUUCUUAAAAUAUUAUCAAUGUCCGACAUGCGACGACAUAGACACAUAUGAUUACAUUUUCUUAAAAUAUUAUCAGUGUAAAUAUUAUUUUAGGUGUUCAUGUAUGUUUCCGUGCUUCAUACAUUAUUCUAUAAAGUCUAAAAAAUAUGAUAUUGAAAAGAAAAAAAAAACCUAAUGAAUUAAAUAUCUAAUAAGUACCUGAUUCAAUGUUGUGUGUAGCAAGAACAACAGAUCCUUUUCCAUUAGCAAACUUCUCAAGCAAAUAAGAUGAACAAUCAUUGAAGCAAUUAUGUGUAUCUUUAAUAGUAUCAUGAAUUGGUGACUUAGACCCAAAAGAUUCAGCCAAUGUACUUUCUGUUGACAUAUAAGCACCUCUAACCAAUUUAAAUCCCAUAGGAAUUCCAAUUUUUUCAGCAGCUUUUGUUGCAAGAAACAAUCUCUCCUUAGCAUCUUUCAAAUAAGUUUGAAUUGUUCCAAACACAAUAGGAUUAUCAUCUUUAUUAUGCAUAAUUGCUGAAGAGUAUGUGAAGUAAUCAAUAGCUGGUUGAACAGUAGUGUGUUCAGCAUCAACCAAUAUUGGCAUGUUUGCUUCAACACAUUUUUUACAAAGUUGUUGUAAUCUUUGGUUUGCUAGUUGAAAAUCACUUUCUUCUUGUGGUGUUAAUGGUUCUGGUUUUUUUGUAGUUUGGUAUAAUGGACUUGAUUCAGAGAAAAUUGGUAGAGAAUCUUGUUUCCAUGGUAAAUUGAAUGAAGGGUCUUUUUGUUGCCAUCUUAGAAGAUCACUUAUUCUUUCUAGUAAUGCCAUUGGACAUAUUGCAGUGAUUUUCACAAUCACAAAACUCACCUAUCACAUAAAAAAUAAAUAUAUUAGAAAAUUGAAUUGCGUGUAGUCGGAAAUUUGACUCAUCCAUACGGUCAACACAUUCAUAAUAGUUCAAUCUUGAUCCAACAACUACAGAUAUGUUGUUUGCAUGAAUCCACCAAAUGCAAAAAAUUCUAGUUCUUCACAUAGUGUACCAAUUUAGAAUUAACAUUUUGGAAAUGAAAUAUAGUUAGAAAUGGUAAAAAUCCAAACUACUAAUGAACCCUUUUGUCCAAAAUACCACAAUCAAAUUUCUAAACACUAGUUUCUAAUUUUUGUUACAAUACCAACCACAUUGUACAUCAGCUAGGUGAGAGUGGGACCAAGAUUAUAUAUAUAUAUAUGUAAUAUAUGAAUACAAACAUUUAUGAUGGAAAUGAAAUAAUGAAAAUUCUUGUUAGAAAUGGUAAAAAUUCAAACUAGUACUUAAACCAUUUUGUCUAAAUCAGUAACAAUAAACUCUAAACACUACUUUCCAAUUUUGAUGACAGAAUGCCAACCACAUUGUACUUCAACUUGGUGGGGGACCAAAAUAUAUUAUUUAUUAAUUCAAACAUUAUGAUGAAAAUUAAAAUAAUAAACCUCUAAUUAGAAAUGGUGAAAAUCCAAAUUUAGUUAUCAACCCUUUGUCCAAAAAUACCAAACUUAAAUUUCUAAACACUAGAUGCCAACAAUAUAUGACUUAAUGUCUAUGAAGCACGAACACUCCUCGAAGGCAUGUCUCGGUGCCCGACAUCUACACUUAUCGUGUUCGACAUCAACACGGCAUCAACACAUGUAAUUACAAUGAAUUAUGUAAUUUUUUCAAAUUAUUAAUUAUGUCGGCAUAUCAAUGUCCAUGUAAUAUCCGGUAUUCAUAUCCGUACUUCAUAUAGCUCAAUGUCAGGCCAACCACAUUGUCCUUAAGUUAGGUAGGACCAACAAAAUAUAAUAUGAGACAAAAUAUUCACUGUCACAAGAUUUCAAAGAAAAAAAGCACAAAAAUGUUUACAUGAGAGCAUGACUUGAACUGGCAUAUCAAGUUGCUUACUUGGUGAUAUUAAUACAUGCAAUGUGACACUUGUUGCCAACUCAAUUCAUACUCAUCACAAAAAGUAGCAAUUCAAUUCAACACACGCCUCACAAUAAAAACACACACGUUCACUUUUCAAAGUCAAGGACCACAUCCCACAACUAAACCAUGAGGCACAAUAUGUCUAAUUUAAUUUAAUAAAAAAAAUCAUUAAAAUAUUAGUUUAAUUUAAUAAUACAAAGUAGUUAAUGGCCUUCUAAUCUUCUAUUUCUGAAAGGGAUUGGAGAAACUUCAUUCACCUAUACUUGUUUAAAUAUAACAGGUGCCUUAUGUUUUUCUAGACAUGCUAAAAUAUCAUUAUAAAAAAUGAAAAAGUAAAUAUGAUUAGAGAUCCUCCCAUAUUAUUAUUAUUAUUAUGGUGCAAAUGAGGGAAGAGAUCCACUUAUAUUAAAACACGUUUUAAAAAAUAUUGGGUAUUCAUAAAUAGAAAGAUCAUCUUCGAUCUUUAUUUAAAGAAAUAAAGAAUCCCAUUAUUAUGAGUUUAAUUGUAUGAUUAAUGUCUACUUAAUUAUAUCACUAAUUUUAGGAAUAUGUCACUUAAUAUAUUCUAAAAAGAAUAAACAAAAUCCAAUUUUGUUUUUAAAAAAUAGAGAAAAUUCAAACAGAAAAAGUAUUUGUUGAAUGUAUAUGAUGAUGAUCCACAGAAACUACUUAAUGCUAUUUCCACGCUACAUUAUACGACCAAAUUAAUUUGACCAAAAACCUCUUUUCUUUAAAUAAAAACAAACAAAUCUUUAAUUAAUCUAAACAGAUCUUAACCAAUUUAUUUUACCAUGAUCAUAAAAAAUUAAUCAAAAAAUAAGUCAAGAUAAAAUUAGAAACUUACAGAAGAAGGAGGAAGUGAUUUGCUAACAUCAACAGUAUGAAGAAACCCUUUAAGAUUACGAUCACAACCAUCAUUCUCAUGUGCAUCUUCAACACCAAAAACAAGCAUGCCACGUAAGCCAGCUUCAUUAACAGACCUUAUACUCUUUCCAGCAGUAAUAGCAUCUUCUCCAGCACAAAAAUGUUCAUAGAAUGUUCUCUUUGUAACUGCCAUAACUGCAUCUUUCAAUAUUCCCGUUUGUAACAAUUUUGAUUGCAUAGCCCAUAUUCCAACGUCCACUACAGGUCCUAUAGCCGUUGCAUGCAGAACGGCUGAGGAUCUUAUCAGCGUGGACGUUGGAACAGCUGAGAAUAAUCUCUCACCGUCGUUUAGGUCAAGAUAAGAUGGUUGUUGGUGUGACGGUUGUGGUGGAGAAGGUUGUUCUCUUUCGAGAAGGGAAGCGACGGCGGCGGUGGCCGAAGGAUGGGAGGAGUUUAAUGGUUUUGUGGUGGUUUUGAAACGGAGAUUCUUGAUGAUCUUUUGUGGGACCACACGAGUUGCCAUUCAAUAACAAGAAAAUUUGAGAUUUGAGAUUCUUGAUGAUGUUUUUGAUUUCUUUGACGUUGUUUUUCUUCUUUUUUGUGAUGAAAACUCUCGACAACACUUUAGUUUUUUUUUUAUCUUUCAAAGGAACACGUGAUUUUGGUGUUGUUGUUCUAUGUAACGAGGUUGUUUUUAUAGGCAUGAAAAGUUAAUAGGGUUUGGUCAAGCAUUGAAAAGUACAACACUGCAUGAUGAUGAUGUUGUGUGAGAUAAGAUUAAACUCUCUAAUUACGUGGCCUAAUCUUUUAUCCUUAACAACCUUUUAAUUUUAGUUUUUAAUUUUAUCCUUAACAAAUUUUUAUUUCGAUCCCUCAAAAACAAAAAAACUUUUUAUUUUGAUUUCCCUUUUUAAUAUAGUUUUUUUUUUGUUUAGUCGGUGGUUUUUAUUUGUAAUUUCUUUCCGUUUAUAACUAAUUGUAAAUUAAUCUGAUUAACUUUCAACUUUAAUGAGAUAAUUAUGAUAAAUUUUUAAUAGGGUAAAUAUUAAAAAAAGUAAUUAUGAUUGUUUAACAGUUUAGUUUCUAUUUAAAAAACAAUUUAAUUACUAUGCAUAGAGGUGUAAAACUGUCAAUAAUUAUUUAUUUUCCCUUAAAAAACAUCAAAUUUAAUUAUUUUUUUCUUUUGAAGUGGCAUAGCUAAUUUGAUAUUUUAGACAAAAAUAAUCAUAAUAUUUAUCAAUACUAUGUAUAAAGAAAAUAACUAUUUCAAUAUACCCUUAAAAAAAUUCUAUAAUAAUGUUAUAUUGGUGUGUCAUUAAAAGAAAUAAUUUCAUAGCAUUUCGAAGACGCCUUGAUUUGUUUUUAUUUUUCAACGAAAAAGUAUGCAUUUAAUUACCAUUUAUAUAUAUUUUUUUUUUCAAUUAAGAUUGUAGGGGUAAAAUUGGCUAAAAAGUGAUAAGCGAAAACAAGCUAUAAACUUGUGUAAAAAUGACAUUUAUUAAAUGGAUUUUUUUUAUCAAGUAGGUUAGUAGAUAGAGCUCACAUAUUUUAAAUAUGGAUAAAUAGACUGUACCGCGUUCAAACUUCAACCCCUACAUAUAUUAUGCAAUUUUUCUACCAACUCAACUGAGUUAUGCUCAGAUAACUUUUUUAAUCAUAGAAACUUAUAAACUAUAUGUUAUAAACUUAAAUUAAUGUCUUACUAGAUAGACACUUAAACCCUUUUCUUUUUUUUUUUCUCUAGGGGAAAACUUCAAACUCUUAUAAAAAUACAAAAAAUGUAAUUACAAUAUCGCUAUUUGGAUGGGAAUUAGGUGUGACGUAGUUGCAAUGGAUAUACUAUGGCAAGAAAAAAAGUUAAAAUGGAGUGAAAAAGAGAAAGCAUAAGUAAAGGAAGAUGAGUAAGACAGCUAAAUUGUAGGGAAGAGUAUGGACAUGAGUUAUAAAAGGUAACAUGAUGUUUUCAAAAUACACGUAGAUAUGAUGUGGAUCCUUAAAUUAGAGUAUGCGUGUAUCAAGGUAUUAAUUUCAAGAUGAUAUUGCUGAGUUGGUCCAUCAUCAUCAAAUUGAUUUAGUCAAUUCUACACUUUUAAUAUGUUCAUAUCAUACCAGCUAUAACCGCCAUGAAUCCAGGAGAUUCCUAUUCUAAAAUCAAAUUAUUUUAUCUACUCAUUAUAAUGCUGUUUAAUCGGUUUUUGUUUGAAUCAAUUUUAAGAUUCUAUUUUAAAAUACACACAUAUAUUCUUGAUAGAAAAACAAAAACAUACACAUAUAUUUUGUUCGUUACAUAGAAGAAUAUAAAAUUAGAGAUUAAUUCAUGAACAUAACUCAAUUGCUAUAGAUAAUACAUUGUUAUAUGUAAGAUUGAGAUUCAACUCCGAGCGUCCCACUUAAUUCACCUUAAUAUGAGAAUUUUAGUCACUAACAUACUUAACAAAAAAAUAAAAUUAGAGAUCAAUUUAAUUGAGUUUAGUGGAAGGACCUACAAUGUGACAGUAUGACGAAUUAAAAUUAGAGUUUAGGAAGAGGUAUUCACACCUUCAAAUUGGAUUAUCUUCUUUCUAUGAAACUAUGAAAAGCAAAAAUAGAUAAAUGAAUAUAAAAUAGAGAACUAAUGUUGUUAACAUAGAGGAACGGAUUAGUCUCUUAUAAUUUGUUCAAUUUAGCGAAUUAAAGUUUGAAUUUUAAUUGAAAGAGACAUUCUAAUUUACUAUCCGAUAGAAUCUCGAAUAUAAUUAUCUAUAAUGAUUGGAAUACAUAGAGACAAACAAAUUUAAUAUUAGGGAAUAUUUUAUCAAAAUAAAAUUAGAAAUACAAUGUUUAUAAUUAUAAUCUCAGUAAUUAUUAAAAAAAAAAACUUUGUAAUUGUAAUCAUAGAUUAAUAAUUAAAUAUAAAAUUAUUAUGAAUCAUGUCUAACUAUGAAUUGUGGUUUGUAUAUGCAACGAGUACGUUUGAUUCGGUAAAAAAUUGGGGAGUAUUUUUUUUGUUUUACCUUGUUUUAUUUAAAACAAACUAUGAGAUGCAAGGGACCGGAUACAAUCAAAAAUUCAUGUGCAUCACUAAACCAUGAGAUAACUUUUUAUCUAGAGUACAUAGUAUCAAAAAUACCAAAAUUCCCUUUUUUAUUUUCCAACAUAAAUUAUUUGCUCUAUUCUCUCCAUUAUUGUUAUGUCUCGUAUUGUUUUGUUUAACACAUACUAUUAUUUUGCGAAUCAAAUGCAUCAUAUACUCUUAAUGCAAAUCUGGUCCAUUUAUGAUGACUAUAUUUAAAGUUUUUUUUUUUUUGAAGGAUGACUAUAUUUAAAGUUGUCAACAUAAAUACAAAAUGUUAUAAAUUUUUUAAUGUUUUCCUUCAUUACAACAAUCCAAUAAAAUAAUACUUAGCAUAUAAAAAUUAUUUAUCGAAUUUAAUUUGAACAUUCACUUAGACAAACACAUAGACCGAUUAACCAAAUAACUAAAUUCAAGUGGUAAUGAACUCCACCAAAUAGCAAAUUGUUUAAAAUAAUCUAAAUUUAAUUAUUAUUUGACCUAGCUCCAAAUAAUUUAUUUUGGAACAACAUGAAAUUUUGCUCUAUAACUCUUGAUCAGAUUUUAUUUAUCUCCCGACAAAAUUUCAGAUUACCAAACUCCCUUCCUCUAUGAACGGAAAAAUAAAAAAAAAACAAAAAACUCAUAGACUAGUUACAACUUCCUACCCUAUUAGAUACCUCUAUCACUAAUCAUAUCCCACUAAGUCGUCCUCAUGUCCAUGGUAACCAUGAUUCCCUCUAUUGGAUUCCAGCCACUCCUGCCUAAUUUACUCUUAAAUCAACUAAUAAUUUGCUAUUGGGUAGCCAUCAUAAUCAAAUAAGAAUGUGUUCUAAUCAUUUGAGGAUGGCUCAUGGUAAAUUACUCACUAACAUAGAGCGUUGUCACUAAGGUAUGUCUAUUGAUAAUCUUUGCCCUACAAGAUCUCAAGCAAGACAUUCGGGAUUAUGACAACGUUAAACCCUUAUGAAAUAGAGUGAUCAUUCAAAACAUAUGAAAUAAGUUUUUUUAGUCUUGGCACUUUAUUUGUUAAUCUUGAAAAUACAAAUUAUUACUUUUGUCGAUACAAUAAUACUUCCUCUUUUUAAUAUAAACUUACUACUUUUAAUAUUUUAACCAAUGUUUUAAAGACACUCAUUAGCAAAUAUUUUUCCUAUUGUUGAGCACGUUGAUCAUCUCUUAAAUUCUUUUUUAUUGUAUGAUGGUGGGACUGGGGAUUCUUCCAACAAGUUUUCUUUCUGGCGAAUGCAAUGCUUCAUUUAUAAAAAAAAUAAAGGAAAAAAGCUACAUAUGGGUCCAAACGAUAAAUAAUUGGUGGCCCUAUGCCCCUAUCUAAUUUCCAUAACAAUCACAUGCAUGAUGCAUAAGCAUUAGUUGGCUGAAUAUAACAUCCACAAUAACUAGCUCUAGAUAUGGAGACAAUCGAACAAAUGAGCUAUCACCUUCUCCAACCAAUUACAUAUUUCUAAAUUUAUGUAAAUAACAAAUUGUCUCUCAAUAUGGAUGCUUGGAAAAGAUAGAAGGAAAUGAAACUCAUGUUUGGUUUUGCACGAUAGUUUUUUGGCACCCUUACUUCCUCUUUCUCAUAUACAUUCACGACCUACCUAAUUAUAAAUUGUCUAACCAUUAUAAAGAAAAACAACCAAAAAGAGAAAACUGAUAAAUAAGAUCUAUAUUGGACUAAGCUCCACUCCUACCUAAUACAUAAGGAUGUGGAUUGAUUAUGAAUUUGAAAAGAUUCUUUUCUCACUAUAUAAGUUUCUUGCGCGUUUUAUGUCGUUUAAAUUAUAAAAUCUAAACGGCAUAAAUAAUACCUCAUAAAAACAUCUAAAAAUACAUUGAAAUAUUUUAGAUUUUAAAAUUCAAAUAGGACACACGAGAAACUCAUAAAGCGAGAAAAGUUAUGACCAUUUGAAAAGGAUAGAUUGCAAUUUCAUAAGCUGAUUCAGGGAAAGAUUGUAUGUUAAUGAAAAAAUGCAUUAGGGACGUUACUCUUUUCAGCUUCCUCGGAAACUCUCCCUCUCCCAUUUGAAAGAAUUGGACAUUGAUGUGUUUGCAACAACAUGCUUCAACUUAUUAUUUUGACUGAAGCCUCAACAAAUUAUAAUUUAAAAUGAUAUAAUAAAUAACAUCAAUACAAUGAUUCGCCAACAACUAUUUUGACAGAACUUUUUGAUCGAUGUAUUUUGUUCACCAACAACUAAAAGAAGUUAUUAAUAAUAAGGGUAAGAGCAAAAUCUUCAACUGGUGUGGAAGAGAAGAGUAGCAGUGAGACAGGGUGAGGAGAGGAUAGGGGGCGGUGAGAGAAAGAGGGGAGAUGAUGUAUUUGAUUGGCGGCGACGAUGGCAACGGUGGUGAGAAAGAUGAACUGGACAGCCAUGGUGGUGAAGGUGAAUAAGAAGAGAAGAAUAGCGUGGUUUCUGAGUUUUAUUUAUUUAUUUAUUAAAAAAAUACAUGUUUUGAUUAUUUUAAAUCUGAACAAUUGAAUCGAUUUUUACCACAUGUCAUUCAUCCAAGACCUUAAAUGUAGUAAAUGGGACAUGUGGUAAAUGGAGCAUACCUAAACUCUUCAAAUUCUAGUUCAACGGAUAAAAAUACCAAAAUUGUUAGAUCAUACGUCAGGAUUCGACCCCCGACCACUUCACUUAUGUGCGUAAGUUUGAUGAUUAGUUGUUUAUCUCAUCUAUCUACCAAGUAAAAUAUAAAAUUAGAGAUCAAUUGAGUUGAGUUUAGUGGAAGAGGUCGACUAGAAUGUGACAACACAUCAAAUUUAUAAAUAGGAUUACAUUCAUUCGAUAAAACUCUGAAAGUAAAAAUAUAAAAUAGAAUAUAAAUAGAGAACCAAUGACGUUAAUCAAGAGGAACAAAUAUGACGAAUUAAAGUUUGAAUUUUAUUUAAAAGAGACAUUCACAUUUACCAUCCCACAUAAUCUUGAAUACAAUUACCUUAUAUUGAAUGAAAUCCAUAGAAGACAAACCAAUAUAACGUUUGAUAAUAUGUUAGCAAAAUAAAAUUAGAAAUACAAUGUUUAUAAGCACAAUCUCAGUAAUUUAAAAGAAACUCUUUAAUCGUAAUCAUAUAUUAAUAAUUAAUUAUAAAAACUCUUUUUUUAACAUUACCCUUUCGGCUUCUAGGGAAAGGGGCUCUAGUAAUUUGGAGUUUCACCAUGAGGUAAGGAUAACCUUGCUAUGAAUUGUUUAAUCUAAAAAUUAAACUCGAAUUCUCUCGAAUGAUCGUCCUUGGUGAAGCUCAUUGACCACUUGAGCUCAAUUGAUUAACUUAGUACUUAUUGUUUUGCAAAUCAAACACAUCAUCUGCACUUUAUGCAUAUCUUAUACAUUUAUGAUGACUAUUUUUAAAGUUGUCAACAAAAAUAGAAAAUUUUAUAAUCGUUAAAAGAAACAAUAAAAAAAUACCUUGGUAUAUAAAAAUCAUUUAUGAAAUUUCAAGUUUGAACAUUCACUUAGACAAACACAUAGAUUGGUUAACCAUGCAACUGGCCUCAAGUGGUUAUGAGCUCCAACAAAUAACAAAAUGCUCAAAAGAACCUAAAUUUGAUUAUUGAAUUGAAUCAUUUUUUGUCAGAUUUUACUUCCAUCUUAAUGAAUUUUGAAUUUUUUACUUCCAUCUUAACGAAUUUUGAAUUAUCAGAGUUCCUUCGCCUUCGACUUAUGAUGUACUAUUGGGUGACCAUCAUAAUCAAAUUCAAAUCCCACUGUCCAAUUAAAAUAUGUUUUACUCUUUUAAGGAUUGCACGUAAGAAAUUACUCGCUAACAUAGAGCGUUGUCACCGAAGUAUGUUUACUAACAAGCUCUCAUGCAUGUCAUUCGGGAUUAAUCAAGUUGAACAUAACCUUUGUUACAAGUUGAUUAAUUAAGAUGAAUAAGUUCAUAAUUCUUUAGAGUGUGUUUGGACGAGGUAAUUGGGAAAUUUUGAAGAAUUUAGAAUUUUAAGUAAUUUAAAUGAUUCAAUUAAAUUAUUUUCAUUUCUUAAUACUUUUGUUUGGAUAGAGUAAUAAAAAUUUCAUUGUCUUAAUGUUUGGGCAAAUUUUAUAAUUUUUGAGCCAAAUUUAAAAAUUGAAAUUAGGGGUCAUAUUAUAAUUUUUGAAAAAAUGGAGGUUUCAUUUUGCAAUUUUUUGGGGUCAAUUUGAAAAUUUUGGAAAAUUUGAGGACCAAAAUGCAAAAUUUUAAAAAUUAUAACAAUGAAGAAAUUUGAAAUUCUUAUCUUUUAGGUGUCAUUUGAAACUCUCUAAAUUUAACUUGGACAAAAUGCUUAAUAAAUUUCCAUUAUUUUGAAAAUUCUUCAAAUUAUUAUUCUAACAAUAGAAUUCACCACAAAGUAUUUAAAUUCUCUCAAAACAUUACAUUACCUCAAAACACGCUCUCAUCUAAACACACUUUUAUUUCAAUGAAAUUUGAAUCAAAACUUGAACAUUGUUAUUGUCUAAACAAAGCAUGUUGUUGGUGAAUUCAAAAUGAAUAUUGAUUGUGUUCUUUCUUGCAUUUUCUACUUUUUUAUUUUAUUUCUAUUGUUGAGCAUGUUGCUCCUCUCUUAAAUUCUUUUUUGUUGUAUGAUGGUGGAGCUUCUUCCACGAAGUUUUCUUUCUAGUGAAUUCAAUGCCUUCUUUAUAAAAAUAAACAAAUAAAUAAUUAUGGGUCCAAAUCAUAAAUAAUUGGUGGCCCUAUGCCCCUAUCUAAUUUCCAUAACAAUCACAUGCAUAAUGCAUAAGCAUUAGUUGGCUACAUUUAACAUCCAUAAUAGCUAGCUCUAGCUAUAGAGACAAUCGAACAAAUUAGCUAUCACCUUCUCUAAAUUUAUGUAAAUAAACAAAUUGUCUCUCAAUAUGGAUGCUUGGAAAAGAUAGAAGGAAAUGAAACUCAUGUUUGGUUUUGCACAAUAGUUUGUUGGACACUCUUACUUUCUCUUUAGUCUUUCUCAUAUACAUUCACGACCUACCUAAUUAUAAUUUGUCUAACCAUUACAAAGAAAAACAACCAAAAAGAGAAAACUGAUAAAUAAGAUCUAUAUAGACCUAAGCUCCACUCGUAUCUAAUAAACUAAUACAUAAGGGGUCAUUACUUUUCCCACCUUAUGAGCUUCUCGUGUACCGUAAGUAGAUUCUAAAAUCCAAAAUAUUUCAACGUAUUUUUGGAUGUUUUUAUGGAGUGUUAAUGUCAUUUGAAUUCUAUAAUCUGAACUGCAUAAGGCACACGAGAAACUCAUAAGAUGGGAAAUUGAACCGUAUACAUAAGGAUGUGGGUUGAUUAUGAAUUUGAAAAGGAUAGAUUGCAUUUUCAUAAGCUGCUGAUUCGGUAAAAGAUUGUAUGUUAAUGAAAAAAUGAAAACAUGCAUAGGUCCCCAUCAAUUAUAUAUAGCUGGAUUUGGGUUCAUCAUGCUGGAAAUUGAUAUAUACCAAAUUCAGUACAUUUUGAGAACUACCUAACUAAUUUGAAAAUAUUUAAGUACAACACCAAAUUAAUACCAUCAUUUUAAAUUUAAACUAAAAAAUAUUUGCUAAUUUUUAAAUACGUCACCAUAACUUGAUCGAGACACUGGUGAGUGGGAUUCCUCUAAAAACACUAGUGGUGUUGAAUAGUUUUAGAGAGAAAAAAAAUUCGAAAAUACAAGAUUUAUCUUAAAAGAAUAUCUAUUCAAUCUUAAUAGAUGAAUGUUCUCAAAAUCAGAUUAGACAUUAAAUUAUAUAGGCAGUGAUUCAAGGUUCGAAUGCCAGAUUGGAGUUGGAUUAAGGUUCGAUCAACUAUUUUUUUCUUUUUUUAAGUUUUAAAAUUAUUAUAUAUAAAGUCAUAAUCGAUAAUUUUUUUUUUUUUAAGAAGCUAAAAUGGAAUAUUAUUAUCAACACCAAAAGUCUUUCCUAGCAUAAGGUGUGCAGAGGAAAAACAAGAAAUUUGUAUAAUAUUUACAAACCGGGAAAAAAAAAAAAACAACAAAAAAAAGCAAUGAAAGAAAUAACAAUUAACUAUUGUCUAUCAUGUCAAAGGGACUAAGCCACCAUCCAUUGUAGUUGAAAGAGAAUAGAACAAGUUUCUCCUUCAACCACGAAAAGGAAAGAGACUUUAUUUUGUCCACUAUGCGCAUAAUCGAGCAAUCUUUAUUCUUGAAAAUUCUAUCAUUUCUUUCUUUUCAUAUUUCCCAAACUGUAGAAAAUCAAAUGACGUUUAACAAGCUCUUACGCGCCUGAGAGGCUCCGCCACCAAAAAUGAAAUGUGUAUAAUGAUCCGAGACAUCGAACGGAGCCACCAUGGAAAGGCCAACCCAAUGAAGAAUACCAUUCCACACCCAUCCAAAGAAAGAGCAAUGGAUGAAUAAAUGAUUAGCAGUUUCUAGAGAUCCGCAUCCACAAGCACACAUACAAGAAUUAUUAUCUAAAACGUUACGACGAAACAAGUCAUAUUCGAUAAAUAUAUCUAUGUAACAAUGACUUGAGGGAUUAAAUCAAAAGCUCAUCAUUUUUUAUACAAAAAUAAUGUUAUUAUUCUAAAACAAUUCCUCAACUUAUAGAAAUAUAUGUAUCAAUGACUUUAGGGACUAAAUUAAUAACUAAUCAUGUUUAUUAAAAAAAUUAAUGUUAUUAUUCUAAAACAAUCCAUCACCUUAUAGAAAUCAGCAGACCCGGCCUUGAGGGUGUGCAAGGUGCUCAAUCAGGCCAGGCCUCCAAAUGCUACGGGCCUCUAACGAAAAUUAAAUCUAAUAUCCACCCCCCACUUAAAUAAAAAAUAUAUAUGUUAUAUCAUUUUCUUUCUUUAGUACACGUUUGAGUUUUUUCUAGACUCUAGUUCUCUUUUUUGCACAUAAAUCGGAUCCUAUCAAACCACCCUUAAUUUGUAUAAUCACUUAAUCAGUCAAUUUGAAAAGUUAUUCAUUGAAAGAAUCACAACAAUCAUUUUUUUCUUCGUAUAAACCAUUCGUUUUACCCUUUUCCACAACAGAGGAGUGACAAAUUCAAACGACACCGUUAGAUAAAUUUCAUCUCUUUCACUUAUUUUUUUUUAAUUCCUUUCAUGUUUAGAAGUUCUUUUGAUUUUGAUUUUUUUUUUUUAAUGAAAUUUAGCUACACAAAAAAGUUAUGUUUUAUUUUACUAGGGACCUAUUUUAAAAAGAGAGCCGAGCCUUCUAUUUCACAGGGAUGGUCCUGGAAAUCAGUCACUAAUACACGCUACCAUCAAAUUGACGUCAAAGACUAAUUUAGUUAUUAUCUCUUUGAAGAUUGAAUUGGGUUGUGAGAAUUUUUAUGACAGAAUAAAUUGUAUUUUUAUUCUAGAAAAUUGUUCGAGACACCUUAAUUUUAUUCCCAAUCGGAACGUAACUCUUAAUCGAUUAUUUUAAUUUGUAAAAUUCGAUCGAAUCGUAACUUUUUACCUACUAUUUUCAAUACAAUGAGUAAUUUUGAGGUGACUAACACUAAAAACCAUUAAAAGAUAAUGCAAUGGACCAACUUAUCUAGGCCCAGUACUUUUUCUAUAAGAAAGUAAAGCAACCCUAACCCGUUUACUACAACAUCCACUUCUCAUUUUCACAAACAAAUACAGCCGCUCCUUGUCAUUAUCCAUUUAUCAAACCCUAGAAUCAUAUACCCAAGAAUAAUGUGACAUUAACAAAUAACCAAAUAUGAAUGUUACUUUUUCAAUUUCUUUCUUAUUGGAUUGCAAAAUCUGAAUGUGUAUUUCGUUAUUAUUUUAAAAUUUUAGAAAUUUCACCUAUCUAAAUACUAAAAGGUUAUAAAUCUUACCUGUCUGAACUCUAAAUUUCUGAUAAUUUCAAGGGGCUUAGGAAAAUUCACGAGGAUUAAAAAGGUUUAGGAAAAUGCGCGAGGAUUAAUAAAGUUGUUUCAAAAGUGUCACAAAAUAUUCAUGCAAAUAUUAUUACUCAAUCGUCACAAGAUGCGUGCACGUGUGUACUAACUAUGUCACUAACAUCCACAUAAAGUUAUUGUAUUUUUUUUCAUUUCAAUUUCAACGUAUUUGAUUUUUCUUCCGGAGUUUGAUUUCGCCUCUGAGAACACACCAUCAACAUUAAAAACUUUAUGGAGAGUUUAACUGUUCAUUGCAGUAUUACCCUAUUCAAAGGAUUACUCUUUCACGGUUGCGUACAAUGAUAUUGUAUCAAAAUUAAAACAUUUUUUUUUAACUGUUAAGCAUAUGAAAAAUCAAAAAUAUAUGCGAAAAGGCUUGUACUUGUGCAUUUCUAAUGAGGUGUAUUCCAACCUUUCAAACAAAACAAAUAAUGGUAAAACAAAAAUUUCCAUGUUACACCUGACCAACAUCAACAAUCAAGAAUUUUACUGUAAACUACUUCAUUACAGAGUAAAAAGCUAUGACUCUACAAAAGCCAAUUGAUAGUAAUGUUGCCAAGCCAAAUGAACAAUGGGAACUGAACCAGAGCGAUAAAGAGCAAGAGAUAGUGAUGUUUGCUCGAGUCGUAACUUCUGACCUCCGCAAAAAGGACUCGUUUCAUAGUUUUUACCAAGAAUACUCCCAUACAUAAACAGGUCCAUGGCAUUAAAAAGUAGUAGGAGUAUCCAGAUAUUAUUCUUCCAAUGACAGCCAAACAAAUGCCGGUGAAAGUGUAUCCAGCAUAUGCUAUGAUGUCUAGCAAGGGUGCUUCGCCGCUUCCCAAUGAAAGCAAUGUCACCUUAAGCAGUGCAGCUUGCAUAAACCAACCAAGCAAUCCCUUGAUGAAUAACAAGUUCAAUGCUUCUGGACUAAACCUGAACAUUCAUACAUGAUCGGUAAGAAACCAAAGCAAAACAAACUACAGAAACGAAUUGGAAAUGGAACCGUGUUUCAAUAAACAGUUUCAUUAAGCGCUUAUCAUAAUAGUUGAUUCCAUAAACUCUCAGAUACGUAAAUCCAAACAGACUCUAAAUGAGUUAUGUGAAGUGAAAAAAUCCAACUGUGAAAAUCUUAAAAUAACAAUCAUGAAAAGAAAAAAGCAAUGUCUACAACAGCUAAGAAGCUAACUCAUCAUCUAUGCCUUCCAAUAAAGUUCUUACAGUUUUUUAGAUGGAAAUACAAAUAUAAAAUUAAAUUUUUGAAUUAAAAAAUAACAGCCAAAAUAUUUCCUGCAACCAAUGCCAAGAAAAAUGUUGAAACUAAAACAAAUCAUCAGACAGUGACAAAAUCCCUUGCAGAAAACAAAGUUGUCAACAUUCAACACUGCUAAUAGAGUACCAUGCCACAUGUGUUAGGACCAUACAAAUUUGAGAAAAUUAAAUAGAAAAUGUGUUUGCUCAGGACUACAUUAUCGAAUCAAGGUAGAGGAAGAGGAAUACGUACUUCCCAUGAAGACCCAAUGAGAGGCCAGCAAGAACGACGUAGGUACCAAAUGCCAUUAAUGGAAUGUAAAGGUCUGGUGCAUUAAUGUCAUAUAUCGGUGGUUUAUAGGAGAGCCUACCACCAACUGGCUCAGUGAUUCUAGUCCAAUGACCCUGAAUCACAAAACAAACGAGAUAAGAGAAGCAUUAAGAUGAAAUAAGAUAAUCAAAUGAAAAUAUGAGAGAAAUAGAAAGAGUUUGAAGUUAUUGCUUACCCUGUGCAGAAAUGGAAACAAAACCACCUUCAACUUGUUUUUAACGUAAUGGUCAUUCACUUGAAAGUAGUAUUGAGGAUCAGAAAAAUACCGGCUUAUCUGUAAUUCAAUAUACAAGACUCAUUUAAAAUGAAAACCUUGAAUUUAUACCUUAUCUUAUCCGUACAUGACAUGAGAGAAGAUAGAAAAUCAGGGAACAUUAAGCUAUUAUAUGUCAUGUUUCAGAUACGUUUUUUUUUCCGCUCAGUCGAGCCUACAUUUAUCAAUAUGUAAUCAUGGAAAGUGAUAUAUUCAGAUGAAAAUCACAGGUUACCUCCUAACGUCUUAACAGAAGCAAUCUUGUUCAAAACCCACAGAGCAACAAAGGUAUGACAUCUUCUUAAGAAAUAUGGUUUUCACUUUUCACAAAGAAUCAAACCAGAGACAUCCCUCUAAAGAAUAUUCGUAUACAUAUCCCACAAGGUUUAUCAGGUUUCAUGGAAUGUAAUUUUGAACAUCAAAUUAGACGCUGUUCUUUUAAAUGGGGAUGUUAAUUUGAUUUCUCAAUGUAUCUUUGCAUAUCAAUUUGGUCACUAAACUAAAGCAUAUUUUAUACUAUGAAGAACGAAAUUUCCCUAUACACCAAUAUAUUUGGAGAACCGAUUUGAGUAUUUACUCAAAUAACAAUUCAAGGGAAAAUAUAAAGAUCUAAUCUUAUGAACCCCAAGGCAAAUUAAAUAAAUAAUUAGAAGGGGAACAAAGCCAUUUUGUUCUUACAUUGCUCUGGACAUACUCCGAGCUGGAUCCUAAUAUUUUGCCGCCAUAUGCACCCAAGCCACCUCGAAUAAGUCCUGAACCAGCAACUUGAAAUGCACUCCCAAAAGGAUUAGGCUGUGUGUUUGUUGGAGGCUGCACAACCCCAGGUUGUGAUCCAACAUUAUUAUACAUUCUUACACUGCUACACAAAAAAAAACCACAAAAGAAGUAAUGAGAAACAAGUUCAAUGUUCAUCAAAACCCGCAUUCACGUCAACAUAACAAUAUGUAAAAGACAUAGAAACCCUCUUGAAAUGAAAACAGAUGUGGCAAAAAUCAAUAUGUGAUUGAAUUGAUUUUGAAAAUCGAUAGUUAAAAGUGAAUUUAAGGUAAAAUGAUUUAUGUUUGGAUGUGAAAGUGAGUUGAACAAUAAAUUUGAUUGUAAAAAUCACUUUUGGUUAUACGGUGACAAAAAUUAAAUUUGAGUGGCUAAAAUGAGUUGAAGGUAAAAUGAUUUACGUAUGAAUACAUUGAUAUAAAAUUGAGUUGAUCAGAAAAAUUGAGUAUAAAAUUCAAUUCUAGAAUCAAAAGGUGAAACUUCUAGCUUCUAGUUGGAAUCAAUUAUCAAGACAAAAUCAAUUCGACUCGAGAGAGAAACCAAAAUGUUAAAAUCAAGUAUAAACCUCUAGAAUCAAUUUUGGUUGAUUCAAAAGUGGAACGAAACAUAUACUAAAUUAGAGUGUACAAAUCACAUUUGAGGCAAAACUACAAAUCCCAGCUUCAAGUUAUAAUGAAUUCUAGAGGCAAAAACCAAUUCUAAUCAGAAACUCUAAAACAUACCAAAAUCAAUUAAUCACUUUUCCCCAAUGUGAAUCCAAACAUGCACUAAUCAGAAACCAACAUUUUCAACAAAUCAUUACAAAUAACAAAACCAUUCAUAAGAUUGCAAAGAAGAAAAUCAUAGACAAUAUGAACACCCAUUUCACCAAUUUAUUCAAUUAUCAAUAAUUUAAACAAAACAAAUAAAACCAAAAUAAUCACAGAUUCAAAAACCCAUUUUUACAUAAAAAAAAAUAAAAUAAAAAUAAAAUCACGGUUGCAUACAAAUCUGAAGCAAUAUAGAUAAAAUUUGUAAACGACCCAUUAAGUAAAUUAGAUUAAAGAUGCAAACUUUAUAUUUAGAGAUAGAAAAAGGCGUCAAAAUGAAUAAUGGGUCGAUCGAGAGAGAUUGAAUGUGUGAAGAGGAAAAAGGACCUGAAGAGAAGAUGAUGAGAUUGGUGGCGGUCGAAACAAGAAGGGUUGUUACCGGCGAAAGGGAAGUGAGAUCUGAGAGCUGUAAGAAGAAGAACUGUAGAGGCAAAAACGGUAUUUGGAAUGCUUCUUUCUGUUUUAUUUGUAUUGUUUUUUCGAUUUUUUAUUUUAUUUUUUUAAUCACAUUUUCAUUUUUCCCAAGUCCCUCUUAAUUUUAUUCCUUUUUUUUUUGAGAGAAAUUAAUUUUAUUAGUUUUAUUAAUAGUUCAACUAUGACAAAAAUUAAUUUAAAAAAAAAUUUGAUUAUGUAAAAUUGAUUUCGAUUAAUAGUGAUGUAAAUGUAAAAUAAUUAUUGUUUGUAUACAUUUAUGCAAAUGUAGGUCGUAUUAUAUAUUUAUGGGUAAAAAUUUAAAAGUUACAAAUAUAAGUUUUAAACAUAAUCAGUUUGGUCGACAAAAUCAUUACUAUUUAAAAACAAUCAAAUAUCUUAAAAUUAAUUCUACAUUUUUAAAAUCAACAUUAACGGCCUUCGUGAGCUUAGCUCAGUUGUUAAGGACAACAUAUAAUAUAUGCAAGGUCUGAGGUUCAAAUAUCGCCGCCACAAAAAAAAAAAAAAAAUCAACAUUGACUCAUUUAGAAGGGAAAUCAAACAUAGACUAAAUGCUCUCGGAGAUUGAUCGUAGUAGACUCGACGGGUUAAUAUAUAUAAAUGGUUGAAUACAUUUUUUGAUCAUUUAAGUUCGACAAAAUAUUAGGUUAAUCUUUAAGUUUUUUAAAUUUCAAAUAGGUCAUUCAAGUUGUUAAUCUAAUGCACUUAUUUGAGGUUUUUAAGUUUCAAAUAGGUUUUUAAAUCGUGUUCUUACUAGGCAUGACAACAAAAUAUCUACCGAACUCACUCGAUUGGACGAGGGCUUUUCUGCUUUGACUGAGUUUGAGUAUGUGUUUGAGUUUUUCACGUUUUCAAAACACUGAUAUGAGUGCAUAACAAUGAUAUAUGUACCCAUCCGAACUCAUACUCAAACCCUUCUCGAAUGUAGAAAAUUAUUUUAGGGUUAAUUAAGUUUUUAGUCCCUACAAAUAUUCACAGUUUUGUUUUUAGUCCCUAAUAAAUAAAAUCACACUUUUUAGUCCCUGUGACAUUUUCCUUAAGCAUUUUAGGAACCAAAAAUGUUGAUGGAAAUUUUUAUAGAGACUAAAAAGUGUGAUUUUAUUUUGUAGGGACUAAAAAUAAAAUUCUGAAUAUUUAUAGGGACCAUUUACUUAAUUAACCCAUUAUUUUAUUACCCAUUGAGAUGUCAUCUUAUAAAAACUACGAUUUAAAUUUAAAGGAACAAUAAAAUUAUUCAGUCAAGGAAUGUUAAAGUAAAUAUAUUGCAGGAUAAUACAUUACAACAUUGUCCUUAAAAAUGAAAGAACAACAUGUUUAUAAAAAAAAUCUAUAUAAAAAAUACAUGUUAUAAAUAAUAUUGCAGCAAAACUUUAGAAAUUCCUAUUAAAUGGUGCAUUUUAGGGUCAGAUUACAAAAUAGAUAACUUUUAGAGGCAAUGUGAUAAAUAUUAACAUGCAUAGGACUCUUUUGUAUAUAACUUUUUCUAGUUGAUGAUAUUAUUAAAGAUGGGGGAAGACUGAAGAGGAACCGCUACUGAUUUGGAAAGUUGAUGAUAAGAACUUUCACUAAAUAUUGUGGUGUGGUGCUACAACUUUUUCUUUUUUGACAAUCCGAGUGGUGCUGCUACUUUCCCUAUUUAUAUUCUAAAUUCACUAAAAUGUUCAUGUCCACUACCGAAAAAUAAAUAAGUAAAUAAAUGCUACUGUCUAUCUACUCAUAUCUUCUUAUUAAUAAUGCUCAUAAUACUACUACUACUACAAAGUAAUAAUGCAUAAUGUAACUCCAAACAGUUGAUCUAGUGAAUCAUCAUGACAUAAUUUGUAUUGAAUUUUAAUCCUCCACUAAUUCUUUUAGAAUAAAGCAAAUGUAAUUCUUUUUGUAAGGGUUCAUUUUAAACUGAAGAAUCAUCUUUGGUCUACAUUUUUUAUAAACCAAAUCAUAUAAAAUGGCAAAAUUUGACGGAAGGAUCAAUUUGAUCAACGUUUGUAAAAUUCAAGGACCUAUUUACUAUUUUGAAAAAUUCGGAGAUGAAAUUGACCCGUGCAUAUAAAUUUAGAGACAAAAUAACCUAUUCGAUCCCUCUUUUAUUUCCACUAAUUACUCUUUCUUUUUGUGUGUAUUGCACUAAAAAAAAAGCAGAAAAAUUAAAGUAAAAGCAUGGUUCUUUUCCUUUUUCUCUUCAAUUCUCUUUAAUCUUUACCAAUUCAAUCAUACAUGAAGUCUCUAAAUACCGUCAUAAUUUAAUCGACAAGCCAAUGAGGUUGCUCACACUUUGCCUCCAGUAACCAUAGGUCUAAUGUGCCAUAAUUUUUCUAUUCCCUUAAUGCUGCUACUUUAAAAAAAUAUUUUAAUACAUUGGUAUAUGAAAAAUAUAUAUCUUCUAAUUAAUAAUUGAAACGUUAUCCAAUCUUGAACUUUAAUAAUGUGUCUUAUCAUUUCAUAUCUUCCCUCAUAAGGAAUUAAAACUGAUCAUGAUAUAUAAAUUCCCCUAAAGAUUUCAAUUUAUGUUGUAACUCUUAGAAGAAGAAGAAAGAUGUAUGUGACUAGACCUUUGUCUAUGUACAGAAAAUCUCCAAGUAGUUUGGAGAUACCACCACCAGAUGCACCAUAUUCAGGCUAUCUAGUAAUCACAGAUGAAGAAGCAGAAUAUGAAGACACAUGUUGUUGGCGAAUAUGUCGGCGAAAGAAUGUGAAGAAGCUUCCUUUCCCUCAAGACAAAUUGUUCUCAGUUUUUCAUCCUUCAGAGAAUGAACAAACUACAAGUAUUAGGGUUUGGUUUCUUCCUGUUCCUGAUCAUUCUUUGUCUUCUAACAGAUACUAUGUAAUCCGAGCUAAAGGCAGACACAAAGGGUAUGUAUGUAUUAAAUAUUUUGCAUAGUGUUGCUUCGUAUUAGUAUAUGAGUAAAUUGUCAUUUUGGUCCGUAAAUGUGUGAGGUGGUGCUAUUAUAGUCUCUAAAUGUAUCUAAACUUUGAAAAUAUCUAUGGAUGUGUCUUCUGCUAGUAAUUUUAAGCACCAAACGAAGAAACUGAACACAUGUUUGACGACAAAAUUGACGAACGAAAGACACAUUUAGUGAUGUUUUAUAAAUUUGGUGUAUUUGUAGAGACUAUCGUGACACUGCUUGACAUAUUCAAGAAUUCAAACCAAUUGAACUUAAUUCUUCCAUAUGCUUACUUAGUGUGUUUGGUUUCACGUUUGCAACACAGAAAAGCACGUUUGCACGCUUCCCGAUGCAUUUUUGCCGUGAUUUUCAUCAAACUCCGUUUUGCAAACGCAAUACCUAACAUGCACUUAGUUACUUGUCUUUGUUUUCUGUGAGAUUUUAUAUUUUUUCAACAAUAAUAUGUGCCAUAUGAUCUUCUUUUGUCAGUAUGGAACUAUAAUUGAUCAUGUGCUCAAGCUUAUAAGGUUGUUUAAGUCUUUUGUGCUGACAUUAAUGUUUGUUAUUAUUAUUAUCAGUACUUCAGAAGCCUGUCCAAUUGUUAUGCUUAGCAAUUAGCAUAAGCUGAAUUCAUAACUAAGAUUAUGUCCUAGUAUGGAUUAAUAUCUAACUUAUAAGAGUUUCUCAUUUAAGUUCAUAGUUCUUAAAAAGAAGUAAAGAAGUCACUAUAAGCUUAAGUAUAUGGAAACUCAAAUGAGAUAGCUUUUAAGAGAAUUGAGAUAAAAUAACUAUUUUUAACUUAUAUGAUAAGCUAUUGUUUAAAAAACUUUCAUGUUUAAGAAAAAAAACUCAUAGUUAUUAUAGAUUUAUAGGAUUAUUUUUACGUGUAUGUUUGAAAACAAUUACGAUUAAGGCAAAAGCUACACUUUAGAGCUUCAACAAAAUCGUAGUGUCAUUGUGAUUUCGUCAAACUCAUCGUGGUUUCUGUUAAGAGUCCCACAUUGGACAGGUGAUGAUCUAACAAUGUGUUUAUAAGUGGGGGCAAUCCUCACCUUAUACAAGCUGAUUUUGUAAGGAUGAGUUAGGCCCCGAUGUGGGACUUGAGUUUUUCCCAAUAGUUCCAGACAUGCACAUGUCAAAUAACAUUUGUAGUAGUGUGCCUCAUAAAAAUUCACACAUACUCACAAAAUGUUGAAACUUUUGUGAUUUUGUAGGAAAGUAUACAAAUGUUCAAGAGAAGGUGACAUAGUGAGUUGUUGCUUCAAUAAUCUCUUGAAUGACAAAAGUCCAAAACCAUUCAAUCUAAAAGACUUGCACCAGAUUUUCAAGAUUCAUACUCAUCAAAGUGGUGGUUUCUUUGCAAAAUCAAUUACACCAGAUGGAAUUCCACCAAAAUUCCUAAGAAAAAAAGGAUGGAAAGUUAGAAUUUCAGGUUCAUAUAGAUCAUGCAAACUAAAUGAAGCUCUAGGUGUUGAUUUUCCUCUAAGAGAAAAGCUUCCAAGUUUUCAUUUUCCUAUCUCAAGAAAAAAUUCACCACCUUUAGUUGUAGGAAAAUGGUAUAUUCCAUUUAUAUUUGUGAAAGAAAGUGCAAGAAAAGUCAAACAACAAAUGAAAAAGUCAAUGUUUUAUAGUAUGACACUUGAGCAAAAAUGGGAAGAGAUUUAUUCAUGUGGAAGGAAUGAACAUGAAAAUGAGAAUCAAAAUGAAGAUGAUGUUGUGAUUGUGAAUGUAUAUGUUGAAAGAGAAAAGGUAUUGAUAUGUGGAACGGAGGCUACAAAGAAUGGAACAAUUGAUAAUAAUGGUUUUAUGUUGUUUAGGGUUUAUAAUCCUUAUAAUAAGAGAAGGGUUAGUGUUGGAUUGAGUUCAGCAAUUAUUGAGAAUAUGAGAUGGGUUGAAGAGCAAGGUGGUUGGGUUUAUGGUAAUGGGAGAGAGAGGGUUGUAACAGUGAAAGAAGAGGUAACAUGUCAAAAUGAAUGGAAUAGGUUUGGUUGUUAUGUGUUGGUUGAAAGUUUUUGUCUUAGGACAUUGGAUGGAAAGUUGGUUUUGAGAUAUGAUUUUAGGCAUACUCAUAAGAUUAAGUGCAAAUGGGAGUAGGAAUCAAGUUUUAGAUUUUCACUCUCUAAAUACAUUAAGGUUAUAUUUGGUAACACGGUACACUAAUUAUUCUUGCGUGUUUAGGCAACUUCAAACAAAUCCAUUGUGAAUUUUGCGAAGCAAAAAAUCAGAGAGAUGGACUGAAAAGUCACAUUAACUAUUAUAAAUGGUGUAUUUUUAUAUGAUGUCGAAAUAUGUUACUAGAUUUUUGAUGUUAAAACCACAUUAUUGAAUGCUAAUUGUUAUGGUUUUAACAAAAGUUUAAAUUCUAUCUUGAGCUUUAGUAUAUUGUUGUUUACUUAGUAUAUAAGCUAUCAUAAAAUUCGAAUAAAUGAAUAAAUAUUAAUCAAACAUUUAACUACUAAUAUUUGCCAAAAAAAACUACGUACCAUGAAACUUUGUUACAUAAUUCAUGUCUUGUCUUGUGACAAUUAAUAAAAUGAAUAUGUUUGAUUUUGGACACUGGAAUUAUCUGCAAAGUUUUGGUUAUAAAAAUCAUUAUUUAGAUUAUUAAUAGUAUAAACACAUAUAUGUUGAAGCCUAAUGAGAAACUUAUUAGUCCACCUAUGUGAGUGCCCAUUUAUCCACAAAUUUUUAGGAUGUGGGACUCUCUUAUUUAUUUCCAAUUACAACACUACUAAAUACAGAAUAGAAAUGAAACGUGGACUAUGAAUGACCGGUAGUAUAAAAGAAUUUUCUAUAAUCCCCAACCACUGGCAUCAAUCAAAUUAACAGUCAAAUCUUACUAUGCUCCUGAGGCACCAUCACUAUCGUUCUUGAAAGUAAAAAAUAAAAAAAAAACAUAUUUAAAUAUCUUUUGUUAAUCAUUUUGAUCUAUAAAUGUGUAUUUUGUUGAUUAGUUUAGUUUUUAUAAGUGUUUUUUGUUUUUAUUUCAUAAAAUUAUUAAUGAAAAAGAUAUUUGAAAGCGUGUAGAUAAUUUCAAUGCAUUUAAGAAAUAUAGAACAACAUCUCAUACGUUCUCAUGAACUUAACUUGAUAAGAGAUAAUGUAUAAUAUAUGUAAAAUCUGGAGCUCGAAUCCAAACACCCCACUUAUUAACCUUUAAGGUAAAUUUCUCUAACCGAUUGACUGCUUGACCCAAAAAAAAGAGAACAACCUCUCAUACAUCCAAGACCAAAAUGUUUGUUUGUCCAAAUAUAUUUUAAUUGGUGCUAUAGGAUGGAGAAUAAGUGGAGUGGAACAUAUAAACCAAUAUUUACUAUAUUUUAUAAAAAAAAUUAGAAAAAGAAGGUAUGUAUUUCCUUUACUUAAAUAAUCAUAUUUGAAAUGUGUCAAAUAUUAAAUAUAGAUAUCUCUUUAAUAUUCAAAAUUUGAUUCGCCAUAACUAAAUUCAUUGGUUUCUAUUUUAAACAUUUAAAUAGCUUAUCCAAUUUCAUUCACUCUUUUACAUAAUAUACUAUAUAUAUAUAUAUAUAUAUAUAUAUAUAUAUAUAUAUAUAUAUAUAUAUAUAUAUAUACCAUCAAUCCAAACAUGCUUUAAGAAAAUACAAAAAGAAACAAAAUUGAGUUGGACUGCUGACUCAAUAACUUCCAAUAGUCAACAAAUCCAUACAACAUUUUUGUCUUUAGUGUCUGUCACAUGAGUAGUAGUAAUAGUCAAAGACUCAAAGUCUCAAAUUUAGUUUAAUUUCUUAACUCUACAUUUCAAGUUUCAACAUCAACAACUCUUCUGACUAUACUUUUAUGUCCAUACAUUUCAUGGUUUGAAGAUCCAAACACAGAGAACAAAAUGAAAUCUGUCAGUAAUAUUUCAUGUGUGUUCUCACUUCCUAAUUCAUCACCUUACUUCAACUUUCAAGGUACACCAUCACCCUUGUUUUUUUUUUUUUUAAUUAUACACAUUUUUUUAGUUAAUUUAAUUUAACUUAGGUAGAUCUAAUCUUAAUUAAUUUCCUCUUCAAGUUGUUUAAAACUCUGAAUAACAUGCAUAAAUGCUGUAAUUAAAUUCACAUGAGUUUAUUGAAUUUGACAAAUUUUGAGUAGACACAAUACAAGAUAGCUUAAGGUUUUUAAUAAUGUUUAUAUGGUUUUAUAAUGUAGAUAUUUUAAACACCUCCAGUUAAUAUAUUUUUUAUUUUAUAAUUGAUUUUUUUUGUUAUUUAACUCAGAUUCAGCUAAAUGUCAAAAUUUAAAUAAAAGAAAAAGUAAUAACUUAUCCAAGAAACAUUGAACAAAAAUGGAAAUUUGAAAGUUAAUCCUGGCAAGUUAAAAUUAGCUGCAUGGUUAAGCUAAUUUAAUUGGUUAACGAGUAAACACUCAUUUUGGUCAUCAAGGGUGGAAAAAUAUACUUGAUUGCAUCUUUCGUUACUCAGUCCUAAAACAUGUCUUUUGUUAGUUAGUUUGGUUUGAAAUGUUUGAUUUGAAACGUGUCUUAUGUUAGUCAAUUUGGUCAAGACCAAGUCUAUGGUGCACAAGGGACAUAUGUAAUUGUUUCUACCAUUGGAUCAAUAAGUCUCGCCGUUAAAUUAAAUGAAAUUUAUUGAUCCAACCGUGGAAAAAUAAACUUGUGCGUGGUGGUGGUGCAAUACUAUUUUGCUUGCGCACAUUAGACAAAGUCUUUGGUCCAUAACAAAAGACACAUUUUCUUAGGUGGAACAAAUUCUUACUUCACUGCUGAACUCCGAAUUACCAGAGCCCCUAUUCUUAGGAACCGAAGGGUUAACACAAAAAUAAAGAAGACACAUUUAGGGAUAUUUUUGUAUUUCAAUACAUUUAAUUCAAGUACUAUAAUGACUAGAACUAGAAUGAUUAUCAGUGUUACAUUUUUUUUUUGUUUUUGAACUUCAGUUGAAAAGCAAUGGCCUCAAAGAUUUUCCUUGAGUACAAAGCCAAUGCAUCUAAGGUAUUCAAAUGGAUGCAAAGUGAGAGCAACAUUGGAUACUAAUAAAUCAAUUGAAAUUCCUCAUCAAUGGUACAAUCUAAUUGCUGAUCUUCCAAUAAAACCACCUCCACCAUUGCAUCCCAAGACUUUUGAACCAAUCAAGCCAGAAGACUUGUCACCUCUUUUUCCUGACGAGUUAAUCAGACAAGAAGUGACAACUGAUAGAUUCAUAGAUAUACCGGAUGAAGUUCGUGAUGUUUACAGUCUUUGGCGCCCAACUCCUCUCAUCAGGUUUGAUUCAUAUCUACCAUAUGUCUAAGGUUUUAAAUUGUGGUCGUGUCAUGAUGUUUGAUAUUGAGGAAAAUCGCGAUGAAAUAUGGUUGAUGCCUGAUGUAACCUCAAUUUCAAUCGUAGAUAGGGCUGUUUAUUGUUCGGUUCAAAAAGGAAAACCGAACUGGAUAUUGAACAGUUAGAAUAACUCAAUAAAACUGAACCGAUCGUUAUGAACAGAAGUGGUAUGAAAGUUCAGUGCAUUGGUUAUGUGGUUCCGAACCGGAACUACAUUUACAGAAAACCGAACUGUACUUUUUCGAACUGAACUGUACCAAAUUACUAUUAUCGACUGAUAACUAGGACUGUUGAAAAAAUCCGAACCAUAUCGAAUAUUAGGUACGUUUUAAGAAAAACUAAAAAUUGAACUGAACCAUUAACUCCUCCGAAAAGAACCGAACUGUGACAGAUAGCUCACGAUAUGAACGUGAACUAUAAGUCACAAUUAGAUUCUUUUAGGUUCGGUUCAUUUUUUUGGUAUUGAAACAGUCUAGUUGCAAAUCUUUUCCGAAUGGAUAAUACUUAGAUACAGUGCUAUCGGCAAUGCUCCUACUGCUCCAUCAAAAAAGGUAUCAUUAUUGUCACCAAAUUUUUUGAAAAGGCAUAAAAACUACUUGGGAGAGGAACAGUAAAAAAAGUAAUUGCAUCACUGCAUGCAAGUUUAAUCCUAUUUUAAAACCCUGCAUAUAUAUAACUCUUUUCCUUUUCAUCUUUCUGAAUUCUAGCUAGAGGAAUCUUAUAUACACGUUUCUUAUGAUUUUAGAGCCAAGAGGUUGGAAAAGCUUCUUGAUACACCUGCUAGAAUUUACUACAAAUACGAAGGUGUAAGUCCAGCAGGGUCACACAAACCUAACUCUGCUAUUCCACAAGCAUGGUAUAAUUUACAAGAAGGUGUCAAGAAUGUUGUGACAGAAACUGGUGCUGGACAAUGGGGAAGUGCAUUAGCCUUUGCUUGCAGCAUAUUUGGCCUUGGAUGUGAGGUACGAAACUAUUGGUAUUAAAUUCAUGAAGAUUUUAUCUUCAAUGUUUUACUAACUUCUUGCUAGUAUACUGUUACAUUUAACUAUGUGUGUUACGCGCCUUUAUUCUGGUUGUAAGUUACAAAAGCCAUGAAACUGUAAUGUUUAGUUAGUUUCUUAAUCUUUGUGCAGGUGUGGCAAGUACGCGCUUCGUAUGAUUCGAAACCGUAUCGAAGAUUGAUGAUGCAAACAUGGGGAGCAAAUGUGCAUCCAUCUCCAUCUAUGCUUACCGAGGCAGGUCAAAGAAUUCUUCAAAAUGAUCCAACAAGUCCAGGGAGUUUAGGCAUAGCUAUAUCAGAAGCUGUGGAAAUAGCUGCUAAAAAUCCUGAUACCAAGUACUGUUUAGGAAGUGUACUAAAUCAUGUUUUACUUCACCAAAGUGUUAUUGGAGAAGAGUGCAUUAAGCAAAUGGAAGCUAUUGGAGAAACUCCUGAUGUUAUCAUAGGAUGUACCGGUGGUGGAUCCAAUUUUGCCGGACUCAGUUUUCCUUUCAUUAGGGAGAAGCUUAAUAACAAAAUUAAUCCUGUGAUUAGAGCUGUUGAACCUACAGCAUGUCCUUCAUUAACAAAAGGGAUAUAUACUUAUGAUUAUGGUGAUACAGCAGGGUUGACUCCUUUGAUGAAAAUGCAUACACUUGGCCAUGACUUUGUUCCUGAUCCAAUUCAUGCUGGUAACUAAUUUUAUAUGCUAAAAUAGUUUGUUUCAUAUUUAUUUAUUUUUUGUUUAGACCCCUCAACUAUGAAGCACCAAUGCAGAUAUAAACAUUGGAUACGAUACUGAAACAUAUAUAUUGAUAAUAAUUUGAGAAUAUAGAAGUGUCUGACACUAACACAUGUUAGACAUCAAACACUUCUUCAAUCCAAAGUGUCUAUGCUAGAUAGACUCUCAUUAUAAUCUGAGUAGAGCCACAAGGACCUAAAUAGGGGAGAAAAGCUCUUCCAAUGCCUAUAUUUUCAUUCACAAAACUCGAGUGUGAGAUGUUGUUUAAGGGAAACCGAACUCCUUGCCACUUGGACGACCUGGUGUUCUAGUGUCGUAUUUGUUAGCAUAUCUUUUGUAACGACAUUUUUGUUUACUUGUAGGGGGGUUGCGCUAUCAUGGUAUGGCACCAUUGAUCUCACAUGUUUAUGAGUUAGGUUUAAUGGAAGCAAUUUCUAUUCCACAAACUGAAUGCUUUCAAGGUAAUUUCUCCGUUCUUUUUGAACCGUCACUUUUGCAGAAAAAAAUUGUUCUAAUUUAUUUGUCAUAAAAUUGUGUAUUUUGAUUACAGGUGCUAUACAGUUUGCAAGGUCCGAAGGGUUGAUACCAGCUCCUGAACCAACUCAUGCAAUAGCUGCAACCAUUAGAGAAGCUCUUCAUUGUAGAGAGACUGGAGAGGCUAAGGUUAUUUUGACAGCAAUGUGUGGACAUGGCCAUUUUGACCUACCAGCUUAUGAGAAGUAUUUGCAAGGUAAUAUGGUUGAUCUUUCCUUCUCAGAGGACAGGUUGAAAGCUUCACUUGGAAAUAUUUCUAAAGUGACAUCUUGAGUUUGGCCUCAUUUUAGUACCAAGAGAGAGAAAUUCCAUCAGCAAUCUUUUUACGGCGUAUUAUGUAAAAAUAUCGAUGAGUUUGACAAAAUCAUUUUGGUCUAGUUUCUUAAGUGGGACUUACAUGAAUUUCGAUCAAUAAUAAAGGUCUAGUAUCUUAAGUGAGACUUACAUGAAUUUCGAUCAAUAACAAAAAAUGUAACAAAAUAAUGUGUAUCGAAGAAUAUGUCAUACUAGAUGCUAUUGAUUAUGUUUUAGAGUUUUUCUCUUUUAAUUUGGUGUGCUAGGAGUCUCUUUUCAUUAAAUAAAACUAGAUUUAAACCUGCGCAACAUAAUGAACACUUAUGUUAGAAGAUGCAAAUUAAGAGCUUGUUUGUUACGACUAUUUUAUUUUUGGUGGUUUAGGAAUUAAGAAGCCCUAAGAUACUAAUGAUACUUUCCUCAUAAAGAUGUUGUGGAACCUUAUUCACAAUUUGGAUGACCUGUGGUGCGGUGUUCUUUUAGACCAUCUCCAAUGGUCUAUUUAAUGUGCCAUUCAACACCAAGUUUGCUUCCAAUGAUGUGUUUAAUGUGUGUUGAAUGAGGGAAGAGAAGAGAGAGAAGGUGAACCGAUUCAACACAAUUUAAUCCUGCCAGGCCGGACACGUGGCGCUCAGAAAUUGGCCCAAAACGGGCGCGUGCGUUACACGCGCAGACAAGGCGCGUGACGCGUCAGACGUGCGGAGAGAGAAUGACUUUUUGGAUAGAUAAUGACACGUGGCGCGUUUUAAUUGGCUGUCCGGAUUCUUAUCAUUUUAAUAAUUUGACCUCAAUUAUUUCGUUGUAAAUUAAUUUAAAAAAAAAAAAAAUUACCAAAAUUCAUGAUUUUUUUUCCUCUAUAAAUAGAGACUUGGAUCAUUUGAUUUGGACACAGAAAAAAAAACCAAGUUUUUCACUAUCUUCAUCUUAUUAUUAUCUUUCUAUUAGCAAACUAAGUGAAGUUUUAAUCUUAUUUUUUGUGAAAUGGAUCCCAAUAAUAACCAUUUCAACACCCAAAAUUUUUCUAAUUACCCAUAUAACUACGAAAAUCCCAACAAUUAUCCAAAUCCAAAUCAAUUUUAUAACCAACGUCCUCAAAACAUACAUCAAAACGUACCUAAUUUUGGUUUUUCACCAAAUUUCAACCAGUCAUCCUCUGUUCCAAACUUUCAUCCAUAUUAUGGAUCUAUGAUGAGAUAUCCAUCUCAAACACCCCCGUUUAAUGGUUAUAUGCCAAUGGGGAAUGAAAAUUUUCCUAGUGUUGAUGCAACCCAAUAUCCUGAAUUUUCAACACAAAUAACUCCUGGUGGCAUGGCAGUUGCUGAUGAAGUCACUCCAGAAGAUUCAACUCCUAAGAGCAAGAGAAGUAAGGAACCAGCAUGGAACACUCAACAAAAUUUGGUUCUAAUAAGUGCAUGGAUUAAAUAUGGAACAAGCAGUGUUGUCGGGAGAAACCAGAGAGGAGAAACAUAUUGGGGUAAAAUUGCUGAGUAUUGUAAUGAGUAUUGCUCAUUCGAUUCUCCCCGCGAUCUAGUUGCCUGCCGAAACCGUUUUAAUUAUAUGAGCAAAAUAAUAAAUAAAUGGAUUGGUGCUUAUGAAAGCGCUAAGCGUAUGCAAGGAAGCGGUUGGUCGGAAGAUGAUAUUUUGACAAAAGCGCAGGAAUUGUUUGCAGGUGGGAAGAAUAUUCAAUUUACUUUGAAAGAAGAAUGGCACGCUCUCCGUGAUCAACCACGUUAUGGUAGUCAGAUGGGAGGAAAUGUAGGGUCAGGGAGUAGUGGAUCUAAGAGAUCUCACGAGGACUCUGUAGGAUCUAGUGCUCGUCCAAUGGGUAGGGAGGCAGCUAAAAAAAAAGGUAAAAUGAAAAGCAAGGGCGAGACAUUGGAGAAGGUGGAAAAGGAAUGGGUUCAAUUCAAAGAAUUAAAAGAGCAAGAGAUUGAACAAUUGAAAGAGUUAAAUUUGGUGAAAAAACAGAAAAACAAGUUGCUGCAAGAAAAGACUCAAGCUAAAAAAAUGAAAAUGUAUCUAAAGUUAAGGGACGAAGAGCAUCUCGAUGACCGGAAGAAGGAGCUGUUGGAGAAUUUGGAGCGUGAGCUGUUUGAAAAUUAAUUUUAAUCAAAUAUUUGUUUGUAUUCAGUCAACAUUAUCAGUGUUGUCUAGUCCCGACUGUUUGCUUUAAUAUUUGUCAGUGUUGUCUAGUCCGUAGUGUUUGCUUUAAUAAUUAUCAGAGUGUUGUCUAGUCCCCAAUGUUUACUUUAAUAAUUGUCAGUGUUGUCUAGUCCCCGUGACUUAUUUGCUUUAAUAAUUAUGUCCACUGUGUGCCCAUUAUUUGUCAGUGUUGUCUAGUCCGUAGUGUUUGCUUUAAUAAUUAUCAGAGUGUUGUCUAGUCCCCAAUGUUUACUUUAAUAAUUGUCAGUGUUGUCUAGUCCCCGUGACUUAUUUGCUUUAAUAAUUAUGUCCACUGUGUGCCCAUUAUUUCACCUACUAUAACUUAUUUCAAAUCCGUCAAUGUCCACCACACAAUGUACUUAUAUAUAGGGACUCAUAUCUACUUUCAAUUUCACAAGUCUCAUUAAAAUCUACUUUCAAUUUCACAAAUCUCAUUCAUAUCUUCUUCCAAAAAACCUAUCAAUGGAUCCUUUUGAUUUGGAAGCCUACUUCCAAAAACGUGAUGCUGAAGACACGUAUAUGGUCAACCGAUUUAUUCAGCGUCGAAAACAAAUAGAGGAAGGUAGUGGAUCUCGUAGUAGAAAAUAUUUAAAGAGAGAUCAUGCAGGGGCAAACCAAAGACUCAUUGACGACUACUUUGCCAAUGAGCCUACAUAUGACGAUGCAAUGUUUCGUCGUCGGUACCGGAUGCAAAAACAUGUCUUCCUUCGAAUCGUUGGAGACCUUUCAAGUAGUGAUAACUACUUCACCCAGCGAGUUGAUGCCGCCAACAAAGAAGGUAUAUCACCGUUAGCAAAAUGUACCACAGCAAUGCGAAUGUUAGCAUAUGGUGUGGCAGCAGAUGCGGUAGAUGAAUACAUCAAAAUAGGAGGUACUACAGCAUUGGAGUGCUUACGUAGAUUCUGUAAAGGAAUCAUACGACUGUAUGAGCAAGUGUACCUGAGAGCACCAACCCAAGAUGACCUUCAAAGAAUACUACAUGUUAGUGAAAUGCGGGGGUUCCCAGGGAUGAUCGGGAGUAUUGACUGCAUGCACUGGGAGUGGAAAAAUUGUCCUAAAGCAUGGGAAGGUCAAUUUACCAGGGGGGAUAAGGGAACCACCACAGUUAUUCUUGAAGCAGUUGCAUCUCAUGAUCUAUGGAUCUGGCAUGCCUUUUUUGGAUGUCCGGGAACGUUGAACGAUAUAAACGUUCUAGACCGGUCACCAGUGUUUGAUGAUGUGGAACAGGGAAAGGCUCCGAGGGUGAAUUACUUUGUGAAUCAACGUCCCUAUAAUAUGACAUACUAUCUAGCUGAUGGUAUCUACCCUUCGUAUCCAACUUUCGUCAAAUCAAUUAGACUUCCUCAAAGUGAACCCGAUAAGUUAUUUGCAAAACAUCAAGAGGGAUGUCGGAAAGACAUCGAACGUGCUUUUGGAGUGCUUCAAGCUCGAUUUAAAAUCAUCCGUGAACCAGCUCGCUUGUGGGACAUAGGCGAUUUGGGUAUCAUCAUGAGGUCAUGCAUCAUAUUACAUAAUAUGAUUGUUGAGGAUGAACGAGAUACAUAUGCUCAACGUUGGACUGAUUUUGAGCAACCUGGGGGAAGUGGAUCAAGUACAUCGCAACCAUACUCGACCGAGGUGUUACCAGCUUUUGCAAAUCAUGUGCGUGGUAGAUCCGAGUUGCGUGAUCCAGAUGUUCAUCACGAAUUGCAAGCAGAUCUAGUGAAACACAUAUGGACAAAGUUUGGAAUGUAUCGUGAUUGAAGAUGAUUUGUAUCGUACUAAAUAAAUUACUUGUGUGUUUUAUGCUUAGUUUGUUGUAUUGCAUUUUAAGUUAUUUGUGUGCCGCGUGCUUAGUUUGUUGUACUUGAAUUUGAAAUUAAGAAAAUAAAAAUAAAUUAUUUUACAAAUUUUUUUCUUCCAAAAAUACUAAAAAAUAAAUAGUUAAUUGUAUUAUUUUAAUUUAAUUAUAAUCGAUAAUUUUAUGUAAUUAUAAAAACAAAAAUUAAAUAAGAAUAAAAAAUAAAAAGUGGUGGGGUAGAGUGUUGAAUGAAAAACCAUUGGAGAGGGUAAAAGUUGAAUGUGUGUUGAAUAAGAGAGAGAAAAUGAUGUGGAGUGUUGGGAAUUGAAAAAGUGGUGUUGAAUGGUGAAAACCAUUGGGGAUGGUCUUAGCAAAUAUGAGAGAGAGAGAAAGAUCUCAUCUAAUCUUGCAAUGCACAACCUUAUUACUCCCCGAUAUGGAAAACUCUUUCAGUGUUUUGGAACGAUUUUCACCGUGAUGUGGUGAAGAAAACCGGUAAUGGUAGACAUAUCGAUUUUUGGUUUGAUAAAUGAGUUUCACAUAAUAGUGAGUUUAUUUCUUCAUGGAGAGAUUAAAUUAAAGCAACUAUCUUUAUGAGAUAUGUCUUGAACUAAAAUAGAGAUUGAGAUGUAAACUUUCAUAGUGAUAACCCACCGAAUAACGGGAAAAAGUUAAAUUACAUGCAAAUACUUAUGAAAUAAAGUAUUCAUAUUUUUUUAUCCUCCAAAAAAAUCAUUUUUUUUAUUUUAAAUAUUCUUAUAAAAAUGAGAAUAUGAAAAAAAAAUCUAAAAUCUAUUUCAAAUGAGAAAUUGUUUUUAGAAGCUUCUCUUAAAAAUCAUUUUCUUUAACUAAUUUAAAAAAUCAAACUCAAAAUUAUUAAAUAUCAAAGAUUAACUUGUUAUAAUCCAUAAGAAUAAGAUUUAAAUUGAGAGAAUUGCUCUUCUCUCAUCUGUUUUUGUUUAUUUCCGCUUUAUGUGAAAUUAAUGUAUCCUAAAAAAUGCACCUACAAAAAUUAACUCAUACUAAAAAUACACCUUUGUGAGUUAACUUAUGCUCGACUAUUUUAAUGGGAUGAGAAAAAGAGGAGAAAAGCAAUUAUCUUAAAUUGAUAGUGACACCAACCAAGUUACCAACUAGCACUCAUUUCAAUUUUCAUAACCCCAAAGUCACCUGACCGAAUUUGAAAACCACAGUCCGGUCACGUGCCACCCUAAUUUAAACCCGUAAAAAAAAACCAAAACCCAAAAAAAACCCCAAACAUUUCAUUUUCAAGUUCAGUUCUUCACUUUCUUCUCCCUCUUCCUCUCAUUUCUCUCUCAAAAUUCGAAAACGCGACAAAAAAAUCAAAUCACCAUGGAAUCGAUUCUCAUAAACUGCGUUCAGAAUAAUCUUCACCAUUUCAUGCACUCCAACGCUAUCUUCAUCUCUCAACUUCUCUGCGCUCAGUUCCCUUCCGAGGUUCUUCUUCUUCACUCUUUACUUCACUACUUUUUUUUCUCUAUUUUUUCAUUUUUUUUUGUUCAUUUCCAAAACCUAAUUGAAAAACAAGUUCGAUUGCGUAACUUUACGAGCUUAAUUUACUUCGAUUUUUUAUUUUAUUUUUUAUUUUGAUUUUUAGUUUGAUAGUUUGUUAUGUUACUGUGAAUCGAGAUUCAGUGAUUUUGUGUCAGGUUUAAUUGAUUUGUGGAUGUUUCGAGAUGGAGUGUUUGUAGGUUUGGAUUGAUUUGGAUUCGGUUUUGUUUUAGUCUCUGAAGCACACACUUUUGAUUGAAGGCGUGUCUGACACUGACAUAUGUGAAUAUGUUUAAUUAUGACAUUUUCUUAAAUUAGCACCAUUGUCGACGUGUAAGUGUAGUGUCCAUGAAUGUGUUUGUUGAGUUAGUUAAUGAGAAACCGUUUGGUUUAAUUGAUUUGUGGAAGUUUCUAGGAUCAAGUGUUGUGUUGGUAGCUUUGAAUUGAUUUGGAAUCACUUUUGUUUUUGGCUAAUUUGGGAUUUGAAUUUUGCUUUAGGUUUAUGUAUGUUUGUGUGUAAAGUAGUGUUGUUAAAUUAGUGUUAUGGUGUAGCACAAUUUGAACAAAUAGUGGUUGUAGUGGCCCUGUAAAUUUAUUUAACAAGACUUCCUUAAAGAUAGCUUAUAAAUAGCGUAUGUUUGUAUGAGAAGAAGUGUUGUUGAAUAGCGUUUUAGUGUAGCAGAAUUUGGACAAAUCGCUAUAAUUCCUUGAUACGUUAUUUAGUAUAAAAUGUUGUCAAAUAUCGGUUGUACUAUAAAAUGUUGCACUAUAGCGCUUUAGUGUAGUGGAAUUUGAACAAACUACUAUUUUUUCACUAUACCCGAUAGCCAACAUUGAUGUAAAGCUAUGUGGCACCAACACUUCUAAUCGAUGACGUGUCAUGUUUAGUGCUUCAUAGUCAUAGAUGUAAAGUUAUGAUGAUGAAAACGGUAUAUGAUGAUUUUCCCCCUCUUUUGGUAUUUGAAGUUUAUUGUGGAGUAAAACUUAAACGGGUUCCUUUGUGUUUGAAGGCUGUUUGCUGCUUCUUGGUACUUGUUAUACCUGUUUCUAAAAGUUUUGGUAUGAUUUUAAAUGGUUGUUUGGCAGUACAUGAAUCUGUUUUAUUGUAGAUAUUUUAGGUUAAGGAUUGGACGGUGUUUUGUGCUACUUUUCUUGAAAAGAAUAUUGUUGCCUGAGGACUUAACGUAAACCAACAUUAAUAUGUUGGAUUUAUUAGCGAUAAAUGUGAAUCAAACAUUUAAAUUGAAAAUCAGAAUUGGAAAAUGUCCGUAUCAAGUGGAAUCAUGAUCCUUGUUGUCUUAUACUCACAGAUUUGCUGCUGUCAGCAAUUUGGAACAGUUGAAUUGUAUUAAGAUCAGACGACAUACACUCAAAGAUCUUGUUUUAAUCCGAUUCACUGCCGUUUGAAUGCGAGUCAUUCUGAAUUGUUGACUGCAGUGAACACUUGAUUAUAUGAUUGCAGUAGUAUAGAGAAUUUUGGACCAUAUCAAGUGUGAGCUGCACUUUCAAAAUGUGUAAUAUUAAUUGUAAUUUUUAAUUAUAAUUAUAAUAAUUAUUAAUAUUAUUAGGGAAAUGCUAACUUGUGCCCUUAAGGCAUAAGUUCAAAAGCUAAAGAUAGAAGUUUUGUAUUUAAUGUUGUAAAAGUUUAAUAAUUUAUAUUUUCAAUUCAAAUUUUAUUUAUUAUUUCCUUUUUUAGUUUCUUAAGUUGUGCCCUUAGGGCACAAGUGGGCACAAAUUAGCAUGACCCAUAUUAUUAUACAUGUUGACCUACUCUUUUUAAAUUCAUAGGUUUCCUUCUUUUUCGUUGUUCCUGAGGAACAUGUAUUUCAAUGUGCUUAACAAAGAAUUUUGUAUCCUUGUAUUGUUUUUCAAUUAUUAGUUAGUUGUAGUUUGUGGAAUUUGUUUUUGCCCUUUAUUUAGCCAUAUAUAAAGUCGUUAAUACUUUGUGAAGGACAUUUCUUUUGCACAUUCUAAGUUAGUGUUUGGUUUUGUUUUGUGCAGACAAAUUUGCAAUUAUUAGCUGCCUGUUACUUGCAGAAUAAUCAAGCUUAUUCUGCAUACCAUAUUUUAAAGGGUAAGUUUAUUUCUCUAUCAUUUCUGGAGUUAAGUUCAUGUUAAUAAUAUUAGUGAUUACUUUUUGAAAUCUCGGUAUCUGGCCCAAGGACUGACUAAUCUGAGGGGUCCAAAUCCCACUGUCCACUUGUGGGGGUCCCAUUUAAAGCCAAAGCAAAGCUCUUUAUGGACUAGCCCACUGAAAUUGGCACCCGAGGGAUUGAACCUGAGACCUUGAGAGGAGCACACUCCAAGGUCCCAAGCCAACACCCACUCUCACAAAAUUGAUUUUGGUGCUAUUUCUGCCACCGUUUACAUGUCUGCCUCUGACCAUGUGAAAGCAACCACACAAUGGCCUCUGAAUAGCAUUUUGCCACAAAAUUGCCCUGUCAAUGUCAUGCUGCCUCGAGACAACAUUGGUUCCUUUUUUUUUUUUUUUUUUUUUUUUUUUAUAUAUAUAUUUUUUUCCUUUCAAUAUAACUAUUUCUUUUCUGCUUCUUUAAUUAGCUUUUAAAAGAAUGAUUUAUUUCCUUUGUUUGCUAUUGUCUUUUAAGUACUUAUUAUUUUUCAUAAUUUUUAUCUUUAUUGCUUGUAGGAACAAAAAUGCCUCAAUCUCGAUACUUGUUUGCAAUAUCAUGUUUUCAUAUGAAUCUUCUUGGCGAAGCUGAAGCAGCAUUGUGCCCUGCUAAUGAGCCGGGUGCAGAGGUAUAAACUUAUAGCUCAAUUUAGAAUGUACUCCAAAUUGAUGAUUUUUGACCCUAUUAUUAAUUAAAAUUUUUAAAGAAAUAUGUAGAUGACAAUAUUGUUUGCCAAACAAUUUUGAUUUUUUUUAUCUCUCUUUUAAUGUUUUAUUUUCUAGUUCAGUUUUGCUAUUUAUCACAUGACAUCGGACAUGCUGAUAGAACACCAACUGAAAUUGGUGUUUAGUUAGUGUUUAGCAAAAUUAAACACUUUUUUACUCAAACUACAGCAAGGAUGCUGUUGCAGAGUUGCGAAGCUCCUGCAGAGAAUGAAGUAUGUUCAAACUUACCAAAUGCACACCAUAAUUGUCUCCCAACCCCAUACUUUACAUCAUAUAUAUGGGAUACAUCACGUUUAUUUACUAACUUCUACUAAUUGUCACAUAUAAUUAGAUACAUAAUUGGUAGAUAAUUCUCCUACAUAAUUAAAUACACACGAGCUACAUAACUUUCCCACAUAAUUAAAUACAUAACUGUCCUACAUGAGUUGACUGCCAAAUUAAAUACACAUGAGCUACAUAACUACCCCGCUUAAUUAAAUACAUAACUAACAUUGACACAGACUACCAUAUGACACAGUUCUACAUCAUAUGCCCUCUUAUGGAGUAUAUCUUUACCUUCCAAGUAGGUGAGUUAGUGGACUUUCCGGUCCCAUCACAUGCCAAUGUGUUUAGUUGUUUUUUGUUAUAAUUUUUUGGUGCAUUUUGUGGGAGAUGAUGAUGAUGACUUGAUUUUGUUGAUAUUUUUUUUUACUAUGUAGGUUCCAAAUGGUGCACCUGGUCAUUAUCUAUUGGGACAGGUUUACAGGUUUCAGCCUUCCCAUUGUCCUGCUUGAAAUCCCUUUGAAUUUACUUUGUUAAUUUAGUGAUAUAAUUUGGCUAAAUCACAUCAUACAUGUAUACAAAUACAGUAUUCAGUAUUGUGCUUUAUACAAUGUGAAGAUUUGUUCUUUUGUGUUCUUGGAACUGAUUUUCUUUAAAUCAUCUUCAAAUAUUUUUCUUUAUACUUUACCUCUUGCCAUUUUCAUAUGAUUUCACCCUUCUACCUUCUCUUUAAUUACUAUUCUGCUUUUCCAGGUACACUGACAGAAAGAAAAGGGCCAUAGAUCAUUUUAAGCAGGCACUAUCAAAGGAUCCUCUAAUGUGGGCUGCAUACGAGGAGUUGUGUAUAUUAGGUUUGUGAGAUGAACUCACUUGAUUCCAAAAUCUCAUUCCACAUACCUGAUUAACCGAUUGGGGAUUUUUUUGUUUCGGGGGCUGCUUAGAGUUCUGUAUUUUCAUUUCGGACAAGUACACAGGGUUAUUUUUAGCUUUGACCAGUUAAUAAAGCUGCUUAAAAAACCCACUUGGGUGCUGGGUGGUAUUGACUUGGGACCUGGGACUGUGCUCCUCCUUAAGGUCUCAGGUUCGAUUCUCUCCGGUGCUAAUUUGGGUGGGCUAAUUUAGCUUCUUAAAAAAUAAAAUAAAAAUAAAGCUGCUUAAAACAAAGCAAACAUAUUUAACUUUGUAGGAUGUAUUAGCAUAAUGCACAAAUGUUUUAAACUUUUUCUUUCGGUGAUUAAGUAUCAGUCAUGAUGAGUUUAUUGUGGUUUGUCCAUAACUGGCAGUAGAUGGAAAAAAAACAAAACAAAACAGAACCACUGAAGUGGCUACGGUUCCACUAAUAUUGAAAUUGAUAAUAGGCAAAAUUACACAUGCGGUCCUUUAAGUUUAACCUUUAUUUUGGAUUGAUCUUUAAGUUUUAUUUUUCCCGAAUUGGUCCUUUAUGAUACAUUUUGUUUGCAAUGUUAGCCUUUAUGUUAUCUUCUUGUUGCAUUGUAGUCCUUCAUGUUAUAUUUUGUGAUUGUUGCACAAUUAGAGAUUAACAACAUUCAGGUGUCCAUUCAUAACACCUCAAUCUAGAGACAAAUGAUUCAUUGUUUUAGGUUUGUAAAUUUUAACGAUUCCUGCUGAAAGAAGACAUUUUUGCGAACAAUGAGAUACUUUGGUUUUUAAGUUUUUAGAUUUGAGAAUUUAGAUUUAAAUAAGUGACAGGAGAAAGGAUAUACACAUAUAUGACAUGUCUAUAUAAGUUUUCUUGAUAUUAAAAUGUCACACAUGUUUUAUUUCGACGAAACUUGUUAAAAACGCUAGCAUUAAAAGUAUAAUGUAACAUAAAGGAUCAAUUCAGGAACAUAAAAACUUAAAGGACCAAUCCGGGAAAAAGGUUGGACUUAAAGAACGGCAGUUGUAAUUUUGCGUUGAUAAUGCUAAGCAAAAGUUUGCCAUGAAAGUAGUUUGAAAGUAUACUUGUUUUUAAUUGCUUGUUUAAUUUUUUAAAAGAAAUCUAGUUAUCUAGAUAAUAUUUUUCACUUUCACAUGUUAUGUUGUUGUCAUCAUCAUUAUUAUGACUGUACGGUUUCCUGUUAAUUUAGGUGAUGCUGAAGAAGCUACUACAGUUUUUGGUGAAGCAGCUUCUUUUUGCAUGCAAAAGCAAUAUCUGAAUUGCUCAACCUCUCCGAAUUUGUCAGCUGAAGAUUGUAAUGUAGUUGCGACCAACAGUGUCUCUGAAGACGUGAGUCCAAGGAAACUAAGACUCAUGCAAGGUCUUAAGGAUAUUGCUGCAAACCCUCACGGAUCAUCUAUAAUUGGAGGAGCUGCUAGUCAACUUAUCAGUAGUGGUUCAUCUAACAUGUCAUUUUAUAACACCCCGUCUCCAAUGGCCACACAGGUAACUGUCUAGUUUUUUUAUAGGCCUAUUGAUGUUUUCUAUAACAAUUUUGGAAAGCUAAACUAUGCCAAGUUAUAGUUUCCAAAAACUUGAUAUGAUCAGUAGGACUCAAAUACGUGUAAAUGCGUCUUAUUUUUCCUUAAAUGAGAACACAGGUUCCUUGGUUAAGUAGAUGUCUAUUCGAUGUUCAAUUUUUUUUUUUUCUUCCAUUAGAAAUGACAUGUUAUACUGUCCUCUUUUGCAGUUGUCAUCUGUUGCUCCACCCCCUUUGUGUAGGAAUGUAAUGCCAAAUGGCCCAAAUCUGAGCACACUUAAUUCUGACAAUUCUCCUAAGUCGACAGUUAACUCUACUAUUCAAGCUCCUAUUCAAGCCCCUCGAAGGAAGUUUGUGGGUGAAGGAAAGUUACGAAAGGUUGGUUCAAAUGUUCUGCCUCUAUUUGUAUUAACUAAAUAAACGCAUGAAUAUUAUGUGGCAUUUUCUAUGUAAUAGACAUUGAUUUGAUCAAGUGGCUUAAUCUGAAGUACACAAUAGCAAUAUCGGAUACAUCUUUCUUGACAGUAGUAUGAUAGAACUGGUUGAAUAAACAAUUAAUACACUGAAUAUACUUCUUUUCUGAGAGGUAUAACUCUUGGAAAUCAAUUAUAAGAGAGAAUGCAAUACUCUAGAAUUAAUGGAGAGAAGGAUGAAGAUAAAUAAGAGUUCCCUACAAAUUUGAGAGCCUAGUCUCUCCUAACCAACCAAUUCCAAGAUAAUCAAGUGCCCCUCCUAUUCCCUCACAAUCUUUAUCAGAAGCAUUAUAUUGCAUGCAUUGUAAGAUGAGUUUAUAAGUGUAUUUUUCAUACUGUAGUGUUACUCAGUUGACCAUUUAUUCUAUUUAGCAUUUUAAAGGAUUGUUGGCAUGAUUGAGCUGAUAUGUACUUUUGGUUCAACGCUUGAUAGUUCCAGAGUACAGACUGUAUGAUGUUAUAUUCUCUCCUCUUUGUUCACAAAAACUAGUUAACCAAAAAUAUGAUUUUACCAAACUUUGCCCCCCCUCUAAAUAUGUAUAUAUUUUUGUUUCAGAUUUCGGGUAGGUUAUUUUCUGAUUCUCCUCGACGUAGUUCAAGACUCUCUAAUGAAGCAAGUGUAAGUUCAAAUGCUAAUGCAACAAUGUUGUCUGGAAACGGAACUAGUAACUCUUAUAAGGGAGGGUCAAAGCUUGGCCCUAUGACAUUUCGUACCAUGACAGUUCGAAAGGGACAAUCAUGGGCCAAUGAAAACAUGGAUGGAGGUGAUAGUUACUAUAUCUCACUACUUAUUACAUCAGUUUAAUUCCUGUAUUUGCAAAUGCCUUAUUAAAUAGUGUUGAUGUAAUGUUAAUUAAGCCAUUCAUUCGCUUUAGCACGUUGUUUCCCAGCUGGUGAAUUUAGAGUUCUUUUUAUCAUUUGUCUUCUAUGCUAUUAUCUUUCUAAAGAUAUUAUCACAAAGAAAUCAACAUCAUUGAUAAUUGUGCUAAGUUGAUAUUGUUUGGUGAUACCAGAUAGAAUUUUGAUUCUACGGCCAAGUGCCAACCUAAUAUGUUGAACUUUGAUUAGAUGAAAUGUUUCUGUUUCCUUUCGCAAUUGUGGGUUUGCAGAUAUUCUAUCUUAAGGUAAUUAUUGUCUUAAAUUUCCUUUAUUUCCAAUGAUGACUCCCAUUUCUUUAUUUUAGGGAUUCAUAAUGAUGCUGUGGAUGUUAGUCGUUUAAAUAUUUCAUCAACAACUUCUUGUUCAUCUGCUGCCGUUGAAGCUAAAGCGUAUGAACAAGAUGCAACAACUCUUCAAGUUAGUGGGCAAGCAACAAGUGAGUCUAAAGUCAUCACUGGUGCAUCCGAAAUAUUGACCAUUCUAAGAGUUCUUGGUGAAGGCUAUAGGCUUGCCUGCUUGUAUAGGUGCAAGGUAUGAUAUAAUUUUUUUUUGAGAAAAUCCAGAUAUCGUUUAUAUUAACUAUUAUUGAGAGUUCCACAUUAUAUUCAUAAGAGAUGGCCUGAAAAAUAUUCAUAAAUGGGAGGUAUGAGGUAUCCCAUAUGGUUUAGUUAAUCCCAACCCAAAUUCUUACAACUAUUUAUUAAAUAAGUUAAAUUAGGAAAAAGAAUAAGGUUUUAGAAAAUAAAAAGGACCAUGAAAAAGGAAAAAAAAAAUCAGGUUAGCACCUUGGUCCUCAAUUAUGUUUCUUAAUAUCUGUUUAUGGUGGAGUAGGAAGCACUGGAUACCUAUCUGAAACUUCCACAGAGGCAUUACAAUACAGGAUGGGUUCUUUCUCAGGUAAUUUUAGUGGUUCAGCUCUCAUUUGCUGGUCUUUCAGUGUGUUAGAAUAUAUGGAAAAUAUAUCUUCAACAUAUUGGAUUGUCUAUUAGAAUUGGUUUGUUGUAUAUAUUUAUUUGGAUUAGGAGUCUAAUAUAUUGAUAGAAAUAAGGAUUAAUGUCACAUCUUCUGGAAGCUAUGAAGCACGGACACAGACACCGGACACGACACGGACACUCACACGCCGACACGGAUAAUAAUUUGAGAAAAUGAUAUAAUUUAGUGUAAUCAUAGGUGUCGUGUCGGUGUUCCGACACGGGACACUCCUAAUCCGAGAAGUGUCCGUGCUUCAUAGUCUGGAACUAAUAUGAUAUAUCAUUAACAUUGGCAUCAAUACAGUUACUAUUUUAAGUAAGGUUUAAAUGUGUCAUUGGUCCCUGCACUUUCAUCAGAUUUUGAUAUUGGUCCCUGCACUUUUUUUUGUUUGGCAUUGGUCCCUGCACUUUGUAAAAAUAUUGGUAUUGGUCCCUCUGCUAACUUUCUGUUAAAAAAAAAAACACAAAACUAACGGAGUGCCACGUGGCCCAAUCAUUUCACGCCACGUGGCACCGAUAUCAAUAUUUUUACAAAGUGCAGGGACCAAUACCAAUUUUUUUACAAAGUGCAGGGACCAAUACCAAUAGUUUUGUGUUGUUUUUUAACAGAAGGUUAACAAAGGGAUCAAUACCAAUAUUUUUACAAAGUGCAGGGACCAAUUCCAAACAAAAAAAAGUGUAGGGACCAAUGCCAAAAUCUGAUGAAAGUGCAGGGACUAAAGACAUAUUUAAGCCUUUAAGUAAUUUUUCCCUCCCUCCCUAAAGGUCUAAACCCUAGAAUUUUUUAACUUGUCAUGAUUCUCUGUGUGUACGGUUAUUUGGUUAUUUUGAUUCAUUUUACCCACUCAGUAAGAAAAGGUUUGGCGGUUAUUGUAAAAGCUGGUUUGUUUUACAUGCCACUGGAUUCUGAGAUGUUUCUUUAUAUCGAAGAUUCUUAGAGGUGCAUAUGCUAAUUAUUUGUCAUGUUACUUUGAAUAUGUUUCGACGCAGGUUGGGAAGGCACACUAUGAGUUAGUUGAUAAUUUAGAAGCUGAUCGGGUCUUUAGUCUUGCUCGUCAAAUUGCACCUUAUAGUUUGGAAGGGAUGGAUAUAUACUCAACCGUCCUUUAUGUGAGUUGACGGACAUUUUCUUUGUAAAAAGCAAACCUGUCUCUUUGUUUGCAUGUUUGAGGCUACAUUAUUUUGAUGUUGAUGCUAUUUAUGUCAAAGGUUUCUUGUUUGAUGCUUGUCAUGUACAAAUUACAAAAUAAGCUUGAACAUUGAUAAUUAUAUAUGGCUAUAACGUUUUAACAAUACAUCCUUGUAUUCUUUUUCAAAAUAACAAAUACUACAUCCUUGUAUUUCUUUAGCUUCCAGCUCCACUUUAAAUAUAGAAUUUUACAUGCAUAUCUGCAUGUUUACUUCUUGACCAAAAGACUUAUCUCUGCUUCAGCAUUUAAAGGAAGAUAUGAAGCUAAGCUACCUGGCCCAGGAACUGAUUUCAACUGAUCGGUUAGCCCCUCAAUCCUGGUAGGUACACAUGGAACUUUCUUUUUAUUAUUCGGUGUGCUACGAUCUAAUCAUUUAUCCUGGUUUAUUAUUUAUAUUGAAUGUUGUGGCAGGUGUGCCAUGGGAAAUUGCUACAGCCUGCAAAAAGAUCAUGAAACUGCACUGAAAAAUUUUCAACGAGCAGUUCAACUGAAUCCAAGAUUUGCAUAUGCACAAACCCUUUGUGGGCAUGAGUAAGAAAAUUGUCCUUUUCGUUAAGGUACACAUUCCUACUACAUGAUCUGUCUCGUAACUUGUUGCCAUUUGCAGGUAUGUUGCACAAGAAGAUUUUGAAAAUGGGAUUAAGAGCUAUCAGAGAGCACUCAUGGUCGACCCAAGGCACUAUAACGCAUGGUAUGGACUCGGAAUGUUAUAUCUCCACCAAGAGAAAUUUGAGUUCUCUGAACAUCAUUUCCGUAUGGCUUUCCGAAUCAACCCAAAAUCUUCUGUGAUAUUGUCAUACCUUGGAACUGCUUUGCAUUUUUUGAAGGUUAAUCUCUUUCUGGCUUGCUGCACUUAAUGUAUUUGUACAAACUACAACUGCAGUUGUCGUUUACUUUUAUUUUUGUAUCCAAUAAUUUGAAACUAUGCUUUUCUAUGAUUUCUCAGAGAAGUGAGGAAGGUUUGGCCGUGAUGGAGAAAGCUAUUUUAGCAGAUAAGAAAAAUCUACUCCCGAUGUAUCAAAAGGCCAACAUUCUAAUGAGCCUGGAAAGGUUUGACGAGGCUUUAGAAGUCCUAGACGAGCUUAAAGAGUACGCUCCCUUCGAAAGUAGUGUCUUUGCUUUGAUGGGCAAUAUCUAUAAAAGGCGUAACAUGCAUGAGAGAGCCAUGUUUCAUUAUGGUAUUGCUUUGGAUUUGAAACCAUCUGCAACGGAUGCUGCCACCAUUAAGGUGAUUAGUUUACAAUAGCAAUUUCCUAGUUCACUAGGUGUAGAUGGAUGAUUGACCACUUUAGAACACUUGGAAUUUCUGAUUAUUGUCAUUGUUCAUUUAUUUUCUAAUGUGACAUGAAGCUUCUUAUUCUGUUCAAACAGGCUGCCAUUGAGAAAUUGUAUUUGCCUGAUGAGCUGGAAGACAACUUGUAGCUCGACAUUUGAAGUGCAAGAUUUGAGUAAUAUAUUUGCUUUCGGCUAAUUGUGUAUAAAAAGCAACACAAAUGCUGGAGGAGUGUAUUCAUUCAUGCAGCCGUCAUCACAUUUGCAACCAUCUAAUUUCCAGAUCACUAUAACUGACUUCAGUUUUGUAGGACAUUCACCUAGGAUUCGAGCAUAUAUAUGAUGUAAUAGGGUUAUCGAAAAACUCCAAUAUUUGUACAAAAUUGUUGUAUUAGCUAGAAAUCCGUGUAUCCGUGUAUUAUUAGUUUAUCCAUAAUUCAACAACCGUACUGGUUAAAUUUUGUGCUAAAUGCCUCAUUCCAUGUAACUUAUUUAGUUUCUUCAAAAAAAUAUGUAACUUAUUAGUUAUUUUUUCAACUUCAAAUCUUUUAGGUAAUGCAGAACUUAGGGCAUGUUGAGGAAGUGUCCACGAAUACAUCUCGAGAUUUUUUUUCUUUCAAAUAUUGGGUUUUCAGCUUCUACCUACUUGUUGAAUGACACAGCAAGUUAUUUCUAAGCCAGUAAUGCACAUGACUAAAUCAUAAUUGACACAACUCAAAUUUAUUUCAUCUAGCAUGCAGAAGCUAUUUUUCUAUUUAAUGAGUUGUAGUACUUCACAACACAAGUGAUUAGGAAUUAUUUUACCUUUGAUGAGUUGUGGCUAACAGGGUGUCACCGAUGGUGAACAAGAAACUAUUUGGAAUUGAAACUUAUUUCAUCUUGGCAUGUUAAGGAUUUUUUUAAUUGACAAAUAUGACGACCAUAAAAUGAGUAUUUGGGUUGGUUUCAAAUGCGUAAAUCUUAGCAAAAGUUAUAUAUUAAAUUUUGCCAGAAUAUAACACUACCAAUAAUUUAGUCAUGAGUUGGCGAAGUAACAUAUUCACAUAAAAAUAGAGGUGUGAAGAUAUUCUGAGUUUAUUCAUAAGCUGGGGUAAUAAAAUAGUCAUAAAGAGGUGAUAGACAAACAAUACUACCAAUUAUAAAAAAUAUGGACAUAAAUAAUUAAGCUGCAUAAAGUAAUUCUCAUGAUAAAACAUUCAUAUCCAUAUUUGAAGCAACCACAUUGACGACAAUAAUUAAGCUUCAGUUUUGCAUUGUUUAAUUCAAUACUAAGGCAAUUCUUUUAAACGGAUAAAACUUCUUCCUUCCAAAAUACAAUCUAUAGUUUCAUAUCUUUUUUCCUAACUCAAAAGAGCCAAAAACUAAAAUAAUUUUGACUAUCAUAGUUUCAUAUCCUAAACAAAACUCGACAAUAGUUCUCUAAUCUCUUCCGCAUAUCUACUCCAAAGAUGUUAGUCAUCUUACUCCCUUGUAGUGUUCUCCCACUAAUUUCUCUGCAUCAUAAAUGACAAAUGUAUGUUUAUACUGUUAGUGUCAAACAAACAAAUCCAAAAAUAGAUAUAUUUAAGCAUGUAGAUGAACAAAGAACAAACAAAUGGCAUAUUAUGGUACUUUCUAAUUGUGUGCAUUACCUCCAAGUACCAAGCGGUAAAAACAAAUGAAACUAAAACCAUAUACAUAUCAUGAAUGUUCAAUGGAAGAUUACAAACAUUCUGGCUCUAAAAUAUUCAUCAUCAAUAUGAUCAGACAUCAUACAUUCUUGCUUUUUGCGUCUUAACUAAGAGUAUUAACAUCAUCAUUAGAUUCUUAUCUCAUUUUAAAAGAGGCAGGAAUGACACAUCCGAAAUAUCAUACAUAGUAUUUUUCACAAAGAAACAAAAUCAAGACGAUAACUUCACUAACAUGUAAAGAUUUAAAUAAAACUGACAAUUUAUCAGAGAAAAAACACCAACAAGAAUAAAGCCAAAUCCAAUAGUCUCAAUGAAGAUUGUUAUAUUUUCAAACUCCACAUUUUCACAUUCACAAAUCAUAAAUAAAAAUAAAAGUGGGACAUAUCAGUGUAUAGCAACACUUAUGUAAUCACUCCAUUAAAAUGUCAGGUACCAGUUAAAAUAUAGAAUAAUAGGUAUAAGAGUAGUCCAAGUAGUUAGGACUUAGGAGGUUGAGCUAUGAAUUGAGUAGAAACUUGAAGGAGAGCUUCACUCUUACUAUUUCUUAUUUUCUUAAUUCAAUUGGAGAAGCAAUUGUCCAAGGUCAAAACAGAACACUCAGAGCAGACAUGCAGAAGCAAGUACGAAACACAGGUACACAUAUUAUCAAGUUAAACAUACUUGAGUUAUCAUACUUCAAACACAUAUCAUUAAUCAAUUCAUAUGCCAUAUGCCUUAUUUACUUCAUAUUAACUUUCAAGUUGGAUUAAAAUACAAAGUAAGUUUGACUGCAGAGUUGCGACUUAUGACGCUGCCAUGUUGGGCAUCGGCAUUAUUUCACAAAUUGACUAAAAUGGUUGUCAAAAAUCCACCAUCCGGCCAUGGCCUAGCCUUUUAAAUUUGUAAGAUGACAUUUUAAAAAGGAAAUUUCUCAGAGAAGUAAAUGUUGAAACAAAAAGAACUUACAGUGUUCAAACUUCAGCAUAGCAAUUUCAGAAUACUAGCAAAUACGGCAUCCACGACGCAAUAGAAGUUCCCUAUUUUCGUCACUUACAUCAAUAUCCCCCAAAUUAAUCUCUCUCAAUUGUGUGCAGUUUUCUACCACAUGUUCCACACCCUUUUCUGUGACAUUUUUACAAUUAUCAAGUUGUAAUUGCAAAAGCCCACAACAAUUCUUUGAGAUCACAGAAAGAGUUUCAUCAUCAACGCUUGUAUUUGACAAGUUCAACACCUCCAGCUCGGGAACUGCAAAGUUCAUUCCAUGUAGUUUCACUUUUGAACAGAAAGCUAAGUUCAAAUGUUUAAGCUUACAACAUUUCUUUAAAACUUGACAAAUACCUUCAGAUAUUUGUGAGCAACGUGUCAAAUCAAGUAGCUGUAAAUUGGGGAAAAUGGAAGUAAACAUUAUGAUUAUUUCAUCUAUUAACCAGUAAUUUGUACCCAAAUAGAGAGAGUUUAACUGAGGGUAUACACCAGAAUGCCCAACAGUCUCUUUCCCAAUACAUGUGUUUUCCAUUUUAAUCUCGGUAAGCAAAGGACAGUUUCUAACGAGUGAAAAAAAGGUUGUUUCUGUGAGAUAACCACCACAAAGGUUUAUAGAUACCAAAUUACCAAGAAACAAAGAGAAAUCAACAACAUGUUGAUCAUUUAGACUAGUAAUGUGACAAAGUUCCAAAUGUUGUAUACAUGGAGACUUGGAUAGCAGACGGUGAAUUGUAUUAACGAAGUUAGUCUGAUUGUCAUAGGCGACCAAAGGGAAAUAGAUGAUGAGUUUUGUGAGCAAAGGGAAACAAUCAACAAUGUCUGUCAGACUGUUCUCGAAAAAAUAAACACAGUAACAACUGAGAGAGGUCAAAGUUGUAAUAUUUUGGGAGAGAGCUUGCAACCCAUCUGUGGGAAAGUAGCAUUCGUCGAGUUUGAGUGAUGUGAGUUUCAAUGGGAAAUUUGAGAGUUGGUUGAGAAGAUCGUCAAGGUUGCGGUGAUC